rnacentral:lncRNA from 1 species
CAUAUGAGCGUGAUGAAAACUAGCUUGACAAUAUUCCCAUGUGUCCUCGAGAGCGCUUUCCUUUAUAUAAGAGUUUGUCCAGGCUUGUCCUUUGCUACAAAAAGGAUUUGGCCACCUUGCUGCACUUUAUUUACUUUUUGUUACUUGUUGCUCGUUACCAAUUAUCUUAUCACAAAACUAUCUGUUACCACUUAUUUCAGUACUUGCAGAGAAUACCUUGCUGGAAACCGCUUAUCAUUCCCUUCUGCUCCUCGUUGGGUUCAACACUCUUACUUAUCGAAAGGACUAUGAUAGAUCCCCUAUACUUGUGGGUCAUCACCCACCGGAUGCGAUUCCAGGGGCCUAUAUGGCUCCAGAAUCAAGGAGGAAGCCUCCUUCGGCUGGAGGGGGCGUGCCUGUUCCGCCGGCAACCUUUGUCCAUCCAGAGGUGUCGGAUGCUUUGUUGGUGGCCUUACAAGACGCCUCCAUCAUUGACGAACACCGUGCCCUUAUGGGUGCGGUGAUUGAGAAGAUUCGGUCAACUGAGAGUGGACUGAACGAAGCCUGUAUCAGCCUUAUAAGAGGCUUUGAGGUAUGUUUUAUAAGUUGUCGAAGAGUGUCAUAGUAUAGAUAGUAGCCCCUGAUACACUGUUCGGUGAAAGAAUGAAUCAGACAGGGGAUCGCAUUGAUGAUCACAGGAAGACUCAUUGAAUGAUAUUGAGUUCUCUUCUGUUUCAAGCAGAUACCUGUAGCGGCUGCUGCCUCUCGUACUACCGAGAUCUCCGGACUGAAUCAAAGUCUGGAGCGGGCCAUAGAAGAAAUUGGCCAAUUGAAAAUGCAGUUGAGGGAUAAACAAGGUAUGCACAAGUGUUGCGCGCAUUUAUUGUGAAAUGAAUGUUCAGUAUGAAAUAAGCCGCAUAAUUUGUGCUAGGGAUUAUGACCGAAGUCGAGGCCCUCAAAAGGGUCAUUGCCGAGGCCGAGGAAAAGGCAGCCACGGAGCGGACUCUUCGUGAGAAACACGAGGCCAGAUUUAUUAAAGCUGAGUAGGAGCUGCAAGAGGUCGUAAGUAAAUGCGAGACCUUGGAGCAGAGUUUAACAGAGAAAGAGUCCGAAGUCACCAAGGCGCAUCAAGCCACGAGUGACGCCCGGGGGGAAACCCAAAGCGCCCUGCAGGGGAUCCAAGAGGCGAGGAAGAUCACGAUGUGUAAGCUUUUCCAAUGUAAAGCAAGUAUUUGAUGGGAAAACUAUGUUUCUGAUUGUGAAUCCGGACUUCUCAGGUGUAUUUGCCGAGCUACCUCACAGCAUAUCAGAUGCCGCUCAGUUCUACCAAGUCAAAGGAAGGAACACCGCCGAUAAGCUCUUUUGGUCGCAGUAUUUGGCGCCGAAUUAUCGGGUGCCUUUUGCCGAUCAACUGAAACAGCUAAUCGAACUGCAUAAGGCGGCGGAACUAGCCAUUAAAGAUAUGGUUGUCCGGCUAUGGCCUGCCGAGCCGAUUCCAAGUAGCUACUUCGGGCUCGUGAGGCGGCUUGUAAGCGCUUGCCCUCGACUUGACGUCAUCAAGUGGCCGGUCUGUAUAGAAGGAGCGCGAAUGGCCUUCGCCCUCGCAAAGGUGCACUGGGGGAAGAUGGAUGCCGAAAAGCUAGUGACCGAGGGACCGCCAGAGGGGAAGGAGCACCGCAAGCCCAAAUUAUAUUAUAAGAGUGUCCUCAAAGGAUCCUACCUUGCAGCGGAGCUAUGCACCAAGGACAUUAUAUUUCCAUGAAUGCCGAUCAUGUUGUCCUUUGUAAUGUUUGAACAAGGUCGUUUAUAUGUCGCAUGUUAUAUAAAAGUUUACCCUCCUGUGUGGCCGUUUGUAUGUUAAGGCUGAGAGAUGGCCAGUCGUCGGCUUCUGCCCCCACAUAAGAAGUACGAGGGUUCUCGGGAUAAACCUGAGCACUCUUUAUCCCAGUUUUGGGUCCUCCGAAGGAGGUACUCUGCACAAUGAACCAGGCAAUCGGACUAUAGGGCUUUAUCGCUCUCACUUAGCCAUAGGAGCUUUAGUAUGAUCGGCGCAACCCCUUGUGUUCGGGAGACCGUACUGGGGGCUCUAUAAGCGUCUGAUCGGAGAAAAAGCCGAUCCAUCACACGCUGCAUUGGUUAUGGCAUUAUGCGGGAGAAAUCCUUAAAGAUUUUGUGACCGCUCGAACAGCUGACCAGCUCUCGCCGUAUCAUGACAGUCAGUUUUCGGCUUUCUCUACUGAGGUGCUCAUCCGGAAGAACCGAGACACAAUCACAGUAGUUCUCCCAGUGCUACCUUAGCUGAUAUAGCGGAACGUAAGGUACCAAAACAUGGGAGCCGGGCAAACCCAACUAUUGACUCAAGACAUGAUUCGGAGCUGAUGCAUAUGAUGUUAUAGGUUCGGGGUGCCGAACUUACACGAAGGUGUUCGGACUUUUAUUGCCGUGUUACGGGAAAAACGAAGCCCCUGGCAUAUUUAAGGCAUAUCGCUGCGUACGGAUGCCACUUGACGAAAUGAUUUCGAUAAGAAAUAAUCAGUAGGUAGACGUCAUAUAAAUCCACAUGUUGUAUUUGAAUAAUACGUAUAUGCGUAUGGGUACAAGUAAUGUGAUAAAAAAAGGAGUUGUGAUAGCAGAACCUGCUAUGACCAGGGGGAAGAGGUUGAGUGCGGAUCCCUAUUAUAGACGGGCGUUCGCUGCGGGGAAUGUCUAAGGAUCCCCUGACGCGUUCGAGCUGCCUCUGUGGAGUCCGUCCUGGUCGGUGCAAAGGUGAACCUGUGAAGGAAAUAUAAGAAAUGUUUGCGUGCCGGAGGGCAGUUGAACUGCUGAGUUCGGCCUGUCAUGGCCUUCGCCGGAGUGUUUAGUUGAGCUCUGGACGAGUCGGGGUAUCCGUCUGUGAAGUAGUUCGGAGCCCCUUGAUGGUGUCCAGGAGCCUGGGCGUCAACUCGAGGUUCGGCUGCAAUGUGCUGCUCAUUGUUUCUGCUGCUAAGGCAGUGAUGUAUUUGUUGGUACCGAAGGAAGGUUUGGCCUUGCCAUGAACCAUGAUGACGCCGCGUGGACCGGGCAUUUUGAGCUUACGGUAGGCAUAAUGUGGCACCGCGUUGAAUCGAGCGAACGCGGUUCGCCCGAGCAGUGCUUGAUAGUCACUGCGGAAAGGGGCGAUUUCGAAGAGUGACUCUUCGAUACGGUAAUUUUUUGGUGAUCCAAAGAUUACCUCGAGGGCAAUGGAGCCUGUACAGCUAACCUCCAUACCUGGUAUGAUGCCUCUAAAAGUGGCUUUAGUGGGCUUGAUCGUUGAAUGAUCGGUGCCCAUCUUGCGCAUUGUGUCCUGGUAAAGCAGAUUUAAACUGCUACCUCCAUCCAUAAGGACUCGAGUGAGGUGGAACCCGUCUACUAUUGGGUCGAGGAUUAGUGCGGCUGGAUGAUAACCCACAAGUAUAGGGGAUCGCAACAGUUUUCGAUAAGUAAGAGUGUCGAACCCAAUGAGGAGCUAAAGGCGGAACAAAUAUUCCCUCAAGUUCUAUCGACCACCGAUACAACUCUACGCACGCUUGAUGUUCGCUUUACCUAGAACAAGUAUGAAACUAGAAGUACUUUGUAGGUUUUGUUGGAUAGGUUUGCAAGAUAAUAAAGAUUACGUAAAUAAAAAGUAGGGGCUGUUUAGAUCAAGACACAACUAAGUUAGUUUUAGUAAAGAGCUUUUUGUUACGAGAAAGUUAUUUGUCCCUAGGCAAUCGAUAACUAGACCGGUAAUCAUUAUUGCAAUUUUAUAUGAGGGAGAGGCAUAAGCUAACAUACUUUCUCUACUUGGAUCAUAUGCACGUAUGAUUGGAACUCUAGCAAGCAUCCGCAACUACUAAAGAUCAUUAAGGUAAAACCCAACCAUAGCAUUAAAGUAUCAACUCCUCUUUAUCCAAUACGCAACAACCCCCUUACUCAGGUUUGUGUUUCGGUCACUCACGCAACCCACUAUAAGCGAAUCAUGAACGUAUUGCAACACCCUACAGCGGGGAUCCCUCAUGCUUGCGCGACACGGAGAGCACCAUAGGACAGCACCAAUAAUAAAACAUGCAACUCAAACCAAUCUUGAUCAUCAAAUAGCCCAUAGGACAAAACGGAUCUACUCAAACAUCAUAGGAUAGCCAUACAUCAUUGGGAAAUAAUAUAUAGCGUUGAGCACCAUGUUUAAGUAGAGAUUACAGCGGGUAAGAGAGAGGUUACACCGCUGCAUAGAGGGGGGGAGAGUUGGUGAUGAUGGCGGUGAAGUUGUUGGUGAAGAUUGCGGUGAUGAUGAUGGCCACGGCUGCGUUCCGGCGCCACCGGAAGAGAAGGGGAGAGGGGCCCCCUUCGUCUUAUUCUUCCUUGACCUCCUCCCUAGAUGGUAGAAGGUUUUCCCCUCUGGUCAUUGGCCUCCAUGGCGUGGGAGGGGCGAGAGCCCCUCCGAGAUUGGAUCUGUCUCUCUGUCUCUCUUUGUUUCUGCAUUCUCAGAUUCUACCCUUUCACCGUUUCUUAUAUUCCCAGAGAUCCGUAACUCUGAUUGGGCUGAAAUUUUAACACGAUCUCUAUCCGGAUAUUAGCUGUAUUGCGGAAAAAGAAGGGCACCAACCGCCUUAUGGGGUGGCCACAAGGAUCAGGGGCGCGCCUACCCCCCUUGGGCGCGCCCCCCUGCCUCGUGGCCCCCUCGGGCAUCGUCUCGUGUGGACUUUCACAAAGCACAUACCUUGACAAUGUUUUGAAGAAGUUCAAAAUGAACCAAGCAAAGAAAGGGUUCUUGCCUGUGCUACAAGGUGUGAAGUUGAGUAAGACUCAAUGCCCGACCACUGCAGAAGAUAGAGAGAAAAUGAAAGAUGUUCCCUAAGCUUCAGCCAUAGGCUCUAUCAUGUAUGCAAUGCUGUGUACCAGACCUGAUGUGUGCCUUGAUAUUAGUUUAGCAGGGAGCGAGGUACCAAAGUAAUCCAGGAGUGGAUCACUGGACAGCGGUCAAGAACAUCCUGAAAUACCUGAAAAAGACUAAGGAUAUGUUUCUCAUUUAUGGAGGUGACAAAGAGCUCAUCGUAAAUGGUUACGUUGAUGCAAGCUUUGACACUGAUCCAGACGAUUCUAAAUCACAAACCGGAUACGUGUUUAGAUUGAACGAUGGAGCUGUCAGUUGGUGCAGUUCUAAACAAAGCGUCGUGGCGGAAUCUACGUGUGAAGCGGAGUACAUUGCUGCUUCGGAAACAGCAAAUGAAGGAGUCUGGAUGAAGGAGUUCAUAUCCAAUCUAGGUGUCAAACCUAGUGCAUCGGGUCCAAUGAAAAUCUUCUGUGACAAUACUGGUGCAAUUGCCUUGGCAAAGGAAUCCAUAUUUCACAAGAGGACCAAGCACAUCAAGAGACGCUUCAAUUCCAUUCGGAACCAAGUCCAGGUGGGAGACAUAGAGAUUUGCAAGAUACAUACGGAUCUGAAUGUUGCAGACCCGUUGACUAAGCCUCUUCCACGAGCAAAACAUGAUCAGCACCAAGGCUCCAUGGGUGUUAGAAUCAUUACUGUGUAAUCUAGAUUAUUGACUCUAGUGCAAGUGGGAGACUGAAGGAAAUAUGCCCUAGAGGCAAUAAUAAAGUUAUUAUUUAUUUCCUUAUAUCAUGAUAAAUGUUUAUUAUUCAUGCUAGAAUUGUAUUAACCGGAAACAUGAUACAUGUGUGAACACAUAGACAAAUAGAGUGUCACUAGUAUGCCUCUACUUGACUAGCUCGUUGAUCAAAUAUGGUUAUGUUUCCUAGCCAUAGACAAAGAGUUGUCAUUUGAUUAACGGGAUCACAUCAUUAGGAGAAUGAUGUGAUUGACUUGACCCAUUCCGUUAGCUUAGCACUUGAUCGUUUAGUAUGUUGCUAUUGCUUUCUUCAUGACUUAUACAUGUUCCUAUGACUAUGAGAUUAUGCAACUCCCGUUUACCGGAGGAACACUUUGUGUGCUACCAAACGUCACAACGUAACUGGGUGAUUAUAAAGGUGCUCUAUAGGUGUCUCCAAAGGUACUUGUUGGGUUGGCGUAUUUCGAGAUUAGGAUUUGUCACUCCGAUUGUCGGAGAGGUAUCUUUGGGCCCACUCGGUAAUGCACAUCACUAUGAGCCUUGCAAGCAUUGCAACUAAUGAGUUAGUUGCGGGAUGAUGCAUUACGGAAUGAGUAAAGAGACUUGCCGGUAACGAGAUUGAACUAGGUAUUGAGAUACCGACGAUCGAAUCUCGGGCAAGUAACAUACCGAUGACAAAGGGAACAAGGUAUGUUGUUAUGCGGUUUGACCGAUAAAGAUCUUCGUAGAAUAUGUGGGAGCCAAUAUGAGCAUCCAGGUUCCACUAUUGGUUAUUGACCGGAGACGUGUCUCGGUCAUGUCUACAUAGUUCUCGAACCCGUAGGGUCCGCACGCUUAAAGUUCGAUGACGGUUAUAUUAUGAGUUUAUGUGUUUUGAUAUACUGAAGGUAGUUCGGAGUCCCGGAUGUGAUCACGGACAUGAAGAGGAGUCUGGAAAUGGUCAAGACAUAAAGAUCCAUAUAUUGGAUGACUAUGUUCGGAAAUCGGAAUGGUUUCGGGGAGUUUCGGGCAUAUACCGGAGUACCGAGGGGUUACCGGAACCCCCCAGAGAGACUAAUGGGACUAUUGGGCCCUAGUGGAGAAGAGGAGGGGCGGCCAAGGGCAGCCGCGUGCCCCCUCNNNNNNNNNNNNNNNNNNNNNNNNNNNNNNNNNNNNNNNNNNNNNNNNNNNNNNNNNNNNNNNNNNNNNNNNNNNNNNNNNNNNNNNNNNNNNNNNNNNNNNNNNNNNNNNNNNNNNNNNNNNNNNNNNNNNNNNNNNNNNNNNNNNNNNNNNNNNNNNNNNNNNNNNNNNNNNNNNNNNNNNNNNNNNNNNNNNNNNNNNNNNNNNNNNNNNNNNNNNNNNNNNNNNNNNNNNNNNNNNNNNNNNNNNNNNNNNNNNNNNNNNNNNNNNNNNNNNNNNNNNNNNNNNNNNNNNNNNNNNNAUUUCCUUUCCCCCUCUCUCUCCUUCCCUCUCCUCUCCUACUCCCACAUGGAAGGGGGGAGUCCUACUCCUAGUGGGAGUAGGACUCCUCAUGGGGCGCGCCUAGGGUGGCUGGCCCCUCCCUCUCCUCCACUACUUUAUAUACGGGGAGGGAGGCACCCCUUGGAGACACAACAAUUGAUCUCUUGGAUCUCUUGGCCGUUUGUGGUGCCCCCCUCCACCAUAAUCCACCUCGAUAAUAUUGUAGCAGUGCUUAGGUGAAGCCCUGCAUCGGUAGAACAUCAUCAUCGUCACCACACCGUCGUGCUGACGGAACUCUCCCUCAAAGCUUGGCUGGAUCGGAGUUCGAGGGAUGUCAUCGAGUUGAACGUGUGCAGAACUCGGAGGCGCCGUGCGUUUGGUACUUGAUCGGUCGGAUCGUGAGGACGUACGACUACAUCAACCGCGUUGUGCUAACGCUUCCGCCUUCGGUCUACGAGGGUACGUGGACACACUCUCCCCUCUCGUUGCUAUGCAUCACCAUGAUCCUGUGUGUGCGUAGGAAUUUUUAUGAAAUUACUACGUUCCCCAACACAUCCAUGCUUGGAUCCAAAUACUAAAGAGACUAAAAUCAAGUCAAUGAGCAUUUAUUAUCCUACAAACCCUCCAAUCCAGAACUCGCCUGUGUUAAAGGAGAUGACUUAAAUAACGAGAGAGAGGACUAAUCUACAUUUUAGUAGGGGUACCCCUGACUAAAAAAUUUUAGUCUCCAGACUAGUUUUAGCCCCUCUUUAGUCAAGGGUGCUUGGAACUUUAGCCUCUUAAAGAGACUAUUUUUAGUCAGACUAAAAUAAGUCUCUUGGAUCCAAACACCCUAUAAUAGUAGCACUUGGGGUACUCAUCAUUACCAUCAUGAGAACUUUAAUCCUUUAUGUCAGAAUAUGUUCUUCACACACAAGCAUGCGUUCGUCUAGGUAUUUUUUUACUGAAUCGAGAAUAUUUCGGUACUGCACUACCACUCUCAAACUGUAGGCAUUUUUAGAUCAAACCAAGGGACUGAUACAGUAGUGAAUCGAGAAUAUGAGUGCAAGAUAUAAUACAUCUAUACCCAAGUAAUUAAGUUAGGUAUUGAGACGAUCCUGCAAUAACGAUGCUCCCCCCCUCCGCCCCCGCGUCGUCUCCUUUGAGGCGACUCGGGGGUUGCCCUAACCGCUGUCGCUGCCACCCCUCCCUCCCCCUUCCCUAUCCUUCGCCGCCGCCCGAGGUGCCCUACGGCAUGCGCGCGCGACACCGAUGAAGGUGGCGGUAGGGAUCUGGUGGCUUCACCUGCGUGGAGGGCCUAGGCAGCCGGGGCGGCGGCCCCGGAUAUGGCAAGGCGGCGGUGCCUGGGCGGCAGGUGAUACGUCUCCAAUGUAUCUAUAAUUUUUGAUUGCUCCAUGCUAUAUUAUCUACUAUUUUGGACAUUAUUGGGCUUUAUUUUCCAAUUUUAUAUUAUUUGUGGGACUAACCUAUUAACAGGAGGCCCAACCUAGAAUUGUUGUUUUUUGCCUGUUUUAGGGUUUCAAAGAAAAGGAAUAUCAAACGGAGUCCAAACGGAAUGAAACCUUCGGGAACGUGAUUUUCUCAACGAACAAGACCCGGGAGACUUGGACCCUACGUCAAGACACAAAAGAGGAGGCCACGAGGUAGGGGGUGCGCCUACUCCCCCAGGCACGCCCUCCACCCUCGUGGGCCCCCUGUUGCUCCACUGACGUACUCCUUCCUCCUAUAUAUACCUACGUACCCCCAAACGAUCAGAUACGGAGCCAAAAACCUAAUUCCACCACCGCAACUUUCUGUAUCCACGAGAUCCCAUCUUGGGGCCUGUUCCGGAGCUCCGUCGGAGGGGGCAUCGAUCACAGAGGGCUUCUACAUCAACACCAUAGCCCCUCCGAUGAAGUGUGAGUAGUUUACCUCAGACCUAUGGGUCCAUAGUUAUUAGCUAGAUGGCUUCUUAUCUCUUUUUGGAUCUCAAUACAAUGUUCUCCCCCUCUCUUGUGGAGAACUAUUUGAUGUAAUCUUCUUUUUGCGGUGUGUUUGUUGGGACCGAUGAAUUGUGGGUUUAUGAUCAAGUCUAUCUAUGAAUAAUAUUUGAAUCUUCUCUGAAUUAUUUUAUGUGUGAUUGGUUAUAUUUGCAAGUCUCUUCGAAUUAUCAGUUUGGUUUGCCCUACUAGAUUGAUCUUUCUUGCAAUGGGGGAAGUGCUUAGCUUUCGGUUCAAUCUUGCGGUGUCCUUUCCCAGUGACAGUAGGGGCAGCAAGGCACGUAUUGUAUUGUUGCCAUCGAGGAUAACAAGAUGGGGUUUUCAUCAUAUUGCAUGAGUUUAUCCCUCUACAUCAUGUCAUCUUGCUUAAGGCGUUACUCUGUUUUUAACUUAAUACUCUAGAUGCAUGCUGGAUAGCGGUCGAUGAGUGGAGUAAUAGUAGUAGAUGCAGGCAGGAGUCGGUCUACUUGUCUCGGACGUGAUGCCUAUAUACAUGAUCAUACCUAGAUAUUAUCAUAACUAUGCUCAAUUCUGUCAAUUGCUCAACAGUAAUUUGUUCACCCACCGUAGAAUACUUAUGCUCUCGAGAGAAGCCACUAGUGAAACCUAUGGCCCCCGGGUCUAUCUUUAUCAUAUUAAUCUCCUACUACUUAGUUAUUUCCUUUGCUUUUUUACUUUGCCUUUAUUUUACUUUGCAUCUUUAUCACAAAAAUACCAAAAAUAUUAUCUUAUCAUAUCUAUCAGAUCUCACUCUCGUAAGUGGCCGUGUAGGGAUUGACAACCCCUAUUCGCGUUGGUUGCGAGGAUUUAUUUGUUUUGUGCAGGUACGAGGGACUCGCGUGUAGCCUCCUACUGGAUUGAUACCUUGGUUCUCAAAAACUGAGGGAAAUACUUACGCUACUUUGCUGCAUCAUCCCUUCCUCUUCGGGGAAAACCAACGCAGUGCUCAAGAGGUAGCAAGAAGGAUUGCUGGCGCUAUUGUCGGGGAGGUCUACGCAAAAGUCAACAUACCAAGUACCCAUCACAUACCCUUAUUGUUGGGGAACGUAGCAGAAAUUCAAAUUUUUCCUACGUGUCACCAAGAUCUAUCUAUGGAGAAACCAGCAACGAGGGGAGGGAGAGUGCAUCUACAUACCCUUGUAGAUCGCUAAGCGGAAGCGUUCAAGAGAACGGGGUUGAUGGAGUCGUACUCGUCGUGAUCCAAAUCACCGAUGAUCCUAGUGCCGAACGGACGGCACCUCCGCGUUCAACACACGUACAGCCCGAUGAUGUCUCCCACGCCUUGAUCCAGCAAGGAGAGAGGGAGAGGUUGAGGAAGACUCCAUCCAGCAGCAGCACAACGGCGUGGUGGUGGUGGAGGAGUGUGGCAAUCUUGCAGGGCUUCGCCAAGCACCACGGGAUAUGAGGAGAAAGAGAGGGAGGGCUGCACCAACGAGAGAGAUCAAAUCGCGUGUAUUGGGCAGCCCCUAGGCCUCAUAUAUAUAGGGGAAGGGGAGGAGGGUGCGCCCCCUCUAGGGUUCCCAUCCCUAGAGGGGCGGCAGCCCUAGAUGGGUCUUGGGGUGGCGGCCAAGAGGGGGAGAAGGGGGGCGCCUCCUAGGGUGGGCCUUAGGGCCCAUCUAAGCCUAGGGUUUCCCCUUCUCAUCCUUUGCUGCGCCUUGGGCCUUGUGGGAGGCGCACCAGCCCACUCAGGGGCUGGUCCCUCACCACUCUUGGCCCACGCAAGCCUCCGGGACUGGUGGCCCCACUUGGUGGACCCCCGGGACCCUCCCAGUGGUCCCGGUACGUUACCGAUAAACCACGAAACUUUUCCGGUGACCAAAACAGGACUUCCCAUAUAUAAAUCUUUACCUCCGGAUCAUUCCGGAACUCCUCGUGAUGUCCGGGAUCUCAUCCGGGACUCCGAAUAACAUUCGGUAACCACAUACAAACUUCCUUUAUAACCCUAGCGUCAUCGAACCUUAAGUGUGUAGACCCUACGGGUUCGGGAGACAUGCAGACAUGACCGAGACAUUCUCCGGUCAAUAACCAACAGCGGGAUCUGGAUACCCAUGUUGGCUCCCACAUGUUCCACGAUGAUCUCAUCGGAUGAACCACGAUGUCAAGGACUUAAUCAAUCCUGUAUACAAUUCCCUUUGUCUAUCGGUACGAUACUUGCCCGAGAUUCGAUCGUCGGUAUCCCGAUACCUUGUUCAAUCUCGUUACCGGCAAGUCUCUUUACUCAUUCCGUAACACAUCAUCCCGUGAUCAACUCCUUGAUCACAUUGUGCACAUUAUGAUGAUGUCCUACCGAGUGGGCCCAGAGAUACCUCUCCGUCACACGGAGUGACAAAUCCCAUUCUCGAUUCGUGCCAACCCAACAGACACUUUCGGAGAUACCCGUAGUGUCCCUUUAUAGCCACCCAGUUACGUUGUGACGUUUGGCACACCCAAAGCACUCCUACGGUAUCCGGGAGUUGCACAAUCUCAUGGUCUAAGGAAAUGAUACUUGACAUUAGAAAAGCUUUAGCAUACGAACUACACGAUCUAGUGCUAUGCUUAGGAUUGGGUCUUGUCCAUCACAUCAUUCUCCUAAUGAUGUGAUCCCGUUAUCAAUGACAUCCAAUGUCCAUGGUCAGGAAACCGUAACCAUCUAUUGAUCAACGAGCCAGUCAACUAGAGGCUUACUAGGGACAUGGUGUUGUCUAUGUAUCCACACAUGUAUCUGAGUUUCCUAUCAAUACAAUUCUAGCAUGGAUAAUAAACGAUUAUCAUGAACAAGCAAAUAUAAUAAUAACUAAUUUAUUAUUGCCUCUAGGGCAUAUUUCCAACAGUCUCCCACUUGCACUAGAGUCAAUAAUCCAGUUCACAUCGAUAUGUGAUUAACACUCAAGGUCACAUCCCCAUGUGACUAACACCCAAAGAGUUUACUAGAGUCAAUAAUCUAGUUCACAUUACCAUGUGAUUAACACUCGAUGAGUUCUGGGUUUGAUCAUGUUAUGCUUGCGAGAGAUGUUAUAGUCAACGGGUCUGAAUCUUUCAGAUCCGUGUGUACUUCGCAAAUCUCUAUGUCAUCUUGCAGAUGCAGCUACUACGCUAUAUUUGGAGCCAUUUCAAAUAACUGUUCUACUUGGAGCUAUUCUAAAUUGUUGCUCCAUUAUACGUAUCCGGUAUCUCUAAUCAGAGCUAUCCGGAUAGGUGUUAAGCUUGCAUCGGCGUAACCCUUUACGACGAACUCUUUUACCACCUCCAUAAUCGAGAAAAUUCCUUAGUCCACUAGUUACUAAGGAUAACUUUGACCGCUGUCUGUGAUCCAUUCUUGGAUCACUCUUGUACCCCUUGACUAACUCAUGGCAAGGCGCACUUCAGGUGCGGUACACAGCAUAGCAUACUGUAGAGAGCCUAUGAUAAAAGCAUAGGGGACGACCUUCGUCCUUCCUCUUUCUUCUGCCAUGGUCGAGCUUUAAGUCUUAACUUCAUACCUUACAACUCAGGCAAGAACUCCUUCUUUGACUGAUCCAUCUUGAACACCUUCAAGAUCAUGUCAAGGUAUGUGCUCAUUUGAAAGUACUAUUAAGCGUUUUGAUCUAUCCUCAUAGAUCCUAAUGCUCAAUACUCAAGCAGCCUAAUCCAGGUUUUCCAUUGAAAAACAUUUUUCAAAUAACUGUGCAUGCUUUCCAGAAAUUCUACAUCAUUUCUGAUCAACAAUAUGUUAACAACAUAUACUCAUCGGAAAUUCUAUAGUGCUCCCACUCACUUCUUUGGAAAUACAAGUUUCUCAUAAACUUUGUAUAAACCCAAAAACUUUGAUCAUCUCAUCAAAGCAUACCUUCCAACUCUGAGAUGCUUACUCCAGUCCUUAGAAGGAUUGCUGGAGCUUUGCAUACUUAUUAGCAUCUUUCAGGAUUGACAAAACCUUCUGGUUGUAUCACAUACAACCUUUCCUCAAGAAAAUGUCGAGGAAACAAUGCUUUGACAUCCUAUCUGCAAGAUUUCAUAAAUAAUGCAGUAGUUGCUAAUAUAAUUCCAACAGACUCUUAGCAUCGCUACGAGUGAGAAAGUCUCACCGUAGUCAACUCCUUGAACUUGUCGGGAAACUUCUUAACGACAAGUCGAGCUUUCUUAAUGGUGACAUUUACCAUCAUUGUCCGUCUUCCUUUUAAAAUCCAUAUGUACCUAAUAGCCUUACGACCAUCAAGCUGUUCUGCCAAAGUCUACACUUUGUUUUCAUACAUGGAUCCUCUCUCGGAUUUUAUGGCCUCGAGCCAUUUAUCAGAAUCCGGGCCCACCAUCGCUUCUCCAUAGCUCGUAGGUUCAUUGUUGUCUAGCAACAUGACUUCCAAGACAGGAUUACGUACCACUCUGAAGUAGUAUGCAUCCUUGUCAUCCCACGAGGUUUGGUAGUGACUUGAUCUGAAGUUUCAUGAUCACUAUCAUAAACUUCCACUUCAAUUGGUGUAGGUGCCACAGGAACAACUUCCUGUGCCCUGCCACACACUAGUUGAAGAGACGGUUCAAUAACCUCAUCAAGUCUCCACCAUCCUCCCACUCAAUUCUUUCGAGAGAAACUUUUCCUCGAGAAAGGACCCGAUUCUAGAAACAAUCCCUUAUUGCUUUCGAAUCUGAGACAGGAGGUAUACCCAACUGUUUUGGGUGUCCUAUGAAGAUGCAUUUAUCCGCUUUGGGUUUGAGCUUAUCAGCCUGAAACCUUUUCACAUAAGCGUCGCAGCCCCAAACUUUUAAUAAAUGACAGCUUAGGUUUCUCUAAACCAUAGUUCAUACGGUGUCAUCUCAUCAGAAUUAUGUGGUGCCCUAUUUAAAGUGAAUGUGGUUGUCUUUAAUGCCUAACCCAUAAACUAUCGUGGUAAUUUGAUAAGAGACAUCAUGGUAUGCAUCAUAUCCAAUAGGGUGCAGUUAUGAUGUUCGGACACACCAUCACACUAUGGUGUUCCAGGCUGUAUUAGUUGUGAAACAAUUUCCACAAUGUCUUAAUUCUGUGCCAAACUCGUAAUUCAGAUAUUCAUCUCUAUGAUCAUAUCAUAGAUAUUUUAUCCUCUUGUCACGAUGAUCUUUCAACUUCACCCUGAAAUUACUUGAACCUUUCAAUAAUUCAUACUCGUGAUUCAUCAAGUAAAUAUACUCAAUAUCUACUCAAAUCAUCUGUGAAGUAAGAACAUAACGAUAUCCACUACAUGCCUCGGCACUCAUUGGAUUGCACACAUCAAAAUGUAUUACUUCCAACAAGUUGCAUUCUAGUUCCAUUUUACUGAAAACGAGGCUUUCAGUCAUCUUGCCCAUGUGGUAUGACUUGCAUGUAUCAAGUGAUUCAAAAUCAAGUGAGUCCAAACGGUCCAUUUGCAUGGAGUUUCUUCAUGCAUAUACACCAAUAGACAUGGUUCGCAUAUCUCAAACCUUUCAAAACAAGUGAGCCCAAAGAUCCAUCAACAUGGAGCUUCUUCAUGCGUUUUAUACCGAUAUGACUUACGUGGCAGUGCCACAAGUAGGUGGUACUAUCAUUACUAUCUUUUGGCAUGAACAUGUGUAUCACUACGAUCGAGAUUCAAUAAACCAUUCAUUUUAGGUGCAAGACCAUUGAAGGUAUUAUUCAAAUAAACAGAGUAACCAUUAUUCUCCUUAAAUGAAUAACCGUAUUGCGAUAGACGUAAUCCAAUCAUGUCUAUGCUCAACGCAAACACCAAAUAACAAUUAUUUAGGUUUAAAACCAAUCUCGAUGGUAGAGGGAGCGUACGAUGCUUGAUCAUAUCAACAUUGGAAACACUUCCAACACAUAUCGUCAGCUCACCUUUAGCUAGUCUCCGUUUAUUCCGUAGCCUUUUGUUUCGAGUUACUAACACUUAGCAACCGAACCGGUAUCUAAUACCCUGGUGCUACUAGGAGUACAAGUAAAGUACACAUCAACAUAAUGUAUAUCCAAUAUACUUCUAUCGACCUUGCCAGCCUUCUAAUCUACCAAGUAUCUAGGGUAAUUCUGCUCCAGUGGCUGUUCCCCUUAUUACAGAAGCACUUAGUCUCGGGUUUGGGUUCAACCUUGGGUUUCUUCACUAGAGCAGCAGCUGAAUUGCCGUUUCAUGAAGUAUCCCUUCUUGCCCUUGCCCUUCUUGAAACUAGUGGUUUCACUAACCAUCAACAAUUGAUGCUCCUUCUUGAUUUCUACUUUCGUGGUGUCAAACAUCGCGAAUAUCUCAAGGAUCAUCAUAUAUGUCCCCGAUAUAUUAUAGUUCAUCACGAAGCUCUAGCAGCUUGGUGGUAAUGACUUCGGAGAAACAUCACUAUCUCAUCUGGAAGAUCAACUCCCACUCGAUUCAAAUGAUUGUUGUACUCAGACAAUCUGAGCACAAGCUCAACAAUUGAGCUUUUCUCCCUUAGUUUGCAGGCUAAGAAAAUCGUUGGAGGUCAUAUACCUCUUGACGUGGGCACGAGCCUGAAAUCCCAAUUUCAGCCCCCAAAACAUCCCAUAUGUUUCGCGACGUUUCAAAACGUCUUUGGUGCCUCAACUCUAAACCGUUUUAACCGAACUAUCACGUAGUUAUCAAAUGUGUAUGUCAGAUGUUCGCAACAUCCACAGACAACGUUCGAGGUUCAGCACACUGAGUGGUGCAUUAAGGACAUAAGCCUUCUAUGAAGCAAUGAGGACAAUCCUCAGUUUACGGACCUAGUCCGCAUAAUAGCUACUAUCAACUUUCAACUAAAUUUUCUCUAGGAACAUAUCUAAACCGUAGAACUAAAGCGCGAGCUACGACAUAAUUUGCGAAGACCUUUUGACUAUGUUCAGGAUAAUUAAGUUCAUCUUAUGAACUCCCACUCAAAUAGACAUCCCUCUAGUCAUCUAAGUGAUUACAUGAUCCGAGUCAACUAGGCCAUGUCCGAUCAUCACGUGAGACGGACUAGUCAUCAUCGGUGAACAUCUUCAUGUUGAUCAUAUCUACCAUACGACUCAUGCUCGACCUUUCGGUCUCUUGUGUUCCGAGGCCAUGCCUGUACACAUGCUAGGCUCGUCAAGUCAACCUAAGUGUUUCGCGUGUGUAAAUCUGUCUUACACCCGUUGUAUGUGAACGUUAGAAUCUAUCACACCCGAUCGUCACGUGGUGCUUCGAAACAACAAACUGUCGCAACGGUGCACAGUUAGGGGGAACACCUUCUUGAAAUUUUAGUGAGGGAUCAUCUUAUUUACUACCGUCGUUCUAAGUAAACAAGAUGCAUAAACAUGAUAAACAUCACAUGUAAUCAAAUAGUGACAUGAUAUGGCCAUCAUCACUUUGCUCCUUUUGAUCUCCAUCUUCGGGGCUCCAUGAUCAUCAUCGUCACCGGCAUGACACCAUGAUCUCCAUCAUCAUGAUCUCCAUCAUCGUGUCUUCAUGAAGUUGUCUCGUCAACUAUUACUUCUACUACUACAGCUAACGGUUAGCAAUAAAGUAAAGUAAUUACAUGACGUUUAUGUUGACACGCAGGUCAUAAAUAAAUUAAGACAACUCCUAUGGCCCCUGCCGGUUGUCAUACUCAUUGACAUGCAAGUCGUGAUUCCUAUUACAAGAACAUGAUCAAUCUCAUACAUCACAUAUAUCAUUCAUCACAUCCUUUUGGCCAUAUCACAUCACAUAGCAUACCCUGCAAAAACAAGUUAGACGUCCUCUAAUUGUUGUUUGCAUGUUUUACGUGGCUGCUAUGGGUUUCUAGCAAGAACGUUUCUUACCUACGCAAAAACCACAACGUGAUAUGCCAAUUGCUAUUUACCCUUCAUAAGGACCCUUUCCAUCGAAUCCGAUCCGACUAAAGUGGGAGAGACAGACACCCGCUAGACACCUUAUGCAACUAGUGCAUGUCAGUCGGUGGAACCAGUCUCACGUAAGAGUACGUGUAAGGUCGGUCCGGGCCGCUUCAUCCCACGAUGCCGCCGAAUCAGGAUAAGACAAGUAACGGCAAGCAUAUUGAACAAAAUCAACGCCCACAACUACUUUGUGUUCUACUCGUGCAUAGAAACUACGCAUAAACCUAGCUCAUGAUGCCACUGUUGGGGAACGUAGCAGAAAUUCAAAAUUUUCCUACGUGUCACCAAGAUCUAUCUAUGGAGAAACCAGCAACAAGGGGAGGGAGAGUGCAUCUACAUACCCUUGUAGAUUGCUAAGCGGAAGCGUUCAAGAGAACGGGGUUGAUGGAGUCGUACUCGUCGUGAUCCAAAUCACCGAUGAUCCUAGUGCCGAACGGACGGCACCUCCGCGUUCAACACACGUACAGCCCGACGAUGUCUCCCACGCCUUGAUCCAGCAAGGAGAGAGGGAGAGGUUGAGGAAGACUCCAUCCAGCAGCAGCACAAUGGUGUGGUGGUGGUGGAGGAGUGUGGCAAUCCUGCAGGGCUUCGCCAAGCACCACGGGAUAUGAGGAGAAAGAGAGGGAGGGCUGCACCAACGAGAGAGAUCAAAUCGCGUGUAUUGGGCAGCCCCUAGGCCUCAUAUAUAUAGGGGAAGGGGAGGAGGGUGCGCCCCCUCUAGGGUUCCCACCCCUAGAGGGGCGGCAGCCCUAGAUGGGUCUUGGGGUGGCGGCCAAGAGGGGGAGAGGGGGGGCGCCCCCUAGGGUGGGCCUUAGGGCCCAUCUAAGCCUAGGGUUUCCCCUUCUCCUCCUUUGCUGCGCCUUGGGCCUUGUGGGAGGCGCACCAGCCCACUCAGGGGCUGGUCCCUCACCACUCUUGGCCCACGCAAGCCUCCGGGACUGGUGGCCCCACUUGGUGGACCCCCGGGACCCUCCCGGUGGUCCCGGUACGUUACCGAUAAACCCCGAAACUUUUCCGUGACCAAAACAGGACUUCCCAUAUAUAAAUCUUUACCUCCAGACCAUUCCGGAACUCCUCGUGACGUCCGGGAUCUCAUCCGGGACUCCGAACAACAUUCGGUAACCACAUACAAACUUCCUUUAUAACCCUAGCGUCAUCGAACCUUAAGUGUGUAGACCCUACGGGUUCGGGAGACAUGCAGACAUGACCGAGACGUUCUCCGGUCAAUAACCAACAGAGGGAUCUGGAUACCCAUGUUGGCUCCCACAUGUUCCAUGAUGAUCUCAUCGGAUGAACCACGAUGUCAAGGACUUAAUCAAUCCUGUAUACAAUUCCCUUUGUCUAUCGGUACGAUACUUGCCCGAGAUUCGAUCGUCGGUAUCCCGAUACCUUGUUCAAUCUCGUUACCGGCAAGUCUCUUUACUCGUUCCGUAACACAUCAUCCCAUGAUCAACUCCUUGAUCACAUUGUGCACAUUAUGAUGAUGUCCUACCGAGUGGGCCCAGAGAUACCUCUCCGUCACACGGAGUGACAAAUCCCAUUCUCGAUUCGUGCCAACCCAACAUACACUUUCGGAGAUACCCGUAGUGUACCUUUAUAGCCACCCAGUUACGUUGUGACGUUUGGCACACCCAAAGCACUCCUACAGUAUCUGGGAGUUGCACAAUCUCAUGGUCUAAGGAAAUGAUACUUGACAUUAGAAAAGCUUUAGCAUACGAACUACACGAUCUAGUGCUAUGCUUAGGAUUGGGUCUUGUCCAUCACAUCAUUCUCCUAAUGAUGUGAUCCCGUUAUCAAUGACAUCCAAUGUCCAUGGUCAGGAAACCGUAACCAUCUAUUGAUCAACGAGCCAGUCAACUAGAGGCUUACUAGGGACAUGGUGUUGUCUAUGUAUCCACACAUGUAUCUGAGUUUCCUAUCAAUACAAUUCUAGCAUGGAUAAUAAACGAUUAUCAUGAACAAGGAAAUAUAAUAAUAACUAAUUUAUUAUUGCCUCUAGGGCAUAUUUCCAACACUUAUCUCCCGCAUUACAUUAUUUGCCAUUUGCCUCUCGUUUUCCUCUCCCCCACUUCACCCUUGCCGUUUUAUUCGUCCUCUCUCUCUAUCCUCCAUAUCUUUCUCUAUUUGCCUCUUUUUGCCCGCUUAUUUUUUGUUUGCUUGUGUGUUAGUUUGCGUGCUUGUCACGAUGGCUCAAGAUAAUACUAAAUUAUGUGACUUCACCAAUACCAACAACAAUGAUUUUAUUAGCACUCCUAUUGCUCCUUUUACCGAUGCCGAAUCUUGUGAAAUUAAUACUGCUUUGCUGAAUCUUGUCAUGAAAGAUCCGUUUUCCGGCCUUCCUAGUGAAGAUGUCGCUACCCAUCUAAAUAGCUUCGUUGAUUUGUGUGAUAUGCAAAACAAUAAAGAUGUGGAUAAUGAUAUUGUUAAAUUGAAGCUAUUUCCUUUUUCACUUAGAGAUCGUGCUAAAGCUUGGUUUUCGUCUUUGCCUAAAAAUAGUAUUGAUUCAUGGAAUAAGUGCAAAAAUGCUUUUAUCUCUAAGUAUUUUCAUCCCGCUAAGACCAUCUCUCUUAGAAACGAUAUUAUGAAUUUUAAGCAACAUGAUCAUGAACAUGUUGCACAAGGUUGGGAGAGAAUGAAACUAAUGAUACGUAAUUGCCCUACUCAUGGUUUAAAUUUGUGGGUGAUUAUACAAAUUUUUUUGCCGGAUUGAAUUUUGCUUCUAGAAAUCUUUUAGAUUCGGCCGCGGGAGGCACUUUUAUGGAAAUCACUUUAGGGGAAGCUACUAAACUCCUAUAUAAUAUUAUGGUUAAUUAUUCUCAAUGGCAUACUGAAAGAUCUACUAAUAAAAAGGUGCAUGCGAUAGAAGAAAUUAAUGUUUUGAGUGGAAAGAUGGACGAACUUAUGAAAUUAUUUGCUAGUAAGAGUGUUUCUUCUGAUCCAAAUGAUAUGCCCUUGUCUACUUUGAUUGAGAAUAAUAAUUAAUCUAUGGAUGUGAAAUUUGUUGGUAGGAACAAUUUUGGUAACAACGCGUAUAGAGGAAAUUUUAAUCCUGGGCCUUAUCCUAGUAAUCCCUCUAAUAAUUAUGGUAAUUCCUACAACAAUUCCUAUGGAAAUUAUAAUAAGAUGCCCUCUGAUUUUGAAUCUAAUAUUAAAGAAUUUAUUACUUCGCAAAAGAAUUUCAAUGCUUUGAUUGAAGAAAAAUUGCUUAAGAUUGAUGAGUUGGCUAGGAACGUUGAUAGAAUUUCUCUUGAUGUUGAUUCUUUGAAACUUAGAUCUAUUCCACCUAAGCAUGAUAUCAAUGAGUCUCUCAAAGCCAUGAGAAUUUCCAUUGAUGAGUGCAAAGAAAGAACUGCUAGGAUGCGUGCUAAGAAAGAUGCCUUUAUAAGAGCGUGUUCUCCUAGUUCCUAUGAAAAUAAUGAUGAAGAUAUCAAAGUUAUUGAUGUGUCCCCUAUUAAAUAUUUGUUUUGCAAUAUGAAUCUUGAUAAUGAUGGGACUGAAUAUGAUCCACCUUUACCUAGAAGGCGUUCCAAGAAUUCGGAAUUUUUUGAUCUUGAUGCUAAAAUUGAUAGAAAUGGGAUUGAAGAAAUUAAAACCCUAAAUGUUGCUAAACACACUAUUAUGGACUUCAAGGAAUUUAACUAUGAAAAUUGCUCUUCGAUUGAUUGUAUUUCCUUGUUGCAAUCCGUGCUAAAUUCUCCUCAUGCUUAUAGUCAAAAUAAAGCAUUUACUAAACAUAUCGUUGAUGCCCUGAUGCAAUCUUAUGAAGAAAAACUUGAAUUGGAAGUUUCUAUCCCUAGAAAGCUUUAUGAUGAGUGGGAACCAACUAUUAAAAUUAAAAUUAAAGAUCAUUAAUGCUAUGCUUUAUGUGAUUUGGGUGCUAGUGUUUCCAUGAUUCCAAAGACUUUGUGUGAUUUGUUAGGUUUCCGUGAUUUUGAUUUGCUCUUUAAACUUGCACCUUGCGGAUUCCACUAUUAAGAAACCUAUGAGAAGAAUUAAUGAUGUUCUUAUUGUUGCAAAUAGGAAUUAUGUGGACGUAGAUUUUAUUGUUCUUUACAUAGAUUGCAAUCCUUCAUGUCCUAUUAUUCUUGGUAGACCUUUCCUUAGAACGAUUGGUGCAAUUAUUGAUAUGAAGGAAGGAAAUAUUAGAUUCCAAUUUCCAUUAAGGAAAGGCAUGGAACACUUUCCUAGAAAAAAUUUAAAUUACCUUCUGAAUAUAUUAUGAGAGCCACUUAUGGAUUGCCUACCAAAGAUGGCAAUACCUAGAUCUAUCCUUGCUUGUUAUGCCAAGCUAGGGGCUUAAACGAUAGCGCUUGUUGGGAGGCAACCCAAUUUUAUUUUUAUUCCUUGAUUUUUGCUCCUGUUUAGUAAUAAAUAAUUUAUCUAGCCUCUGUUUUGGUUGUGUUUUUUGUAUUUAAUUAGUGUUUGUGCCAAGUAGAACCGUUGGGAAGACUUGGGGAAAGUCUUGUUACGCUUGCUGUAAAAAACAGAAACUUUAGUGCUCACGAGAACUACUGCAAUUUUUAUUUGGAAAGUGAUAUUUAGUUAAUUAUUUUUGAAGAUGAUUAAUAGAUAAAUUCCUCACGUCCAGCAAUUUAUUUUAGAAUUUUUGGGGUUCCAGGUCUUGCGCUAGCUACAGAUUACUACAGACUGUUCUGUUUUUGACAGAUUCUGUUUUUCGUGUGUUGUUUGCUUAUUUUGAUGAAUCUAUGGCUAGUAAAAUAGUUUAUAAACCAUAGAGAAGUUGUAAUACAGUAGGUAUAACACCAAUAUAAAUAAAUAAAUAAUGAUUUCAUUACAGUACCUUGAAGUGGUCUUUUGUUUUCUUUCGCUAACGGAGCUCAUGAGAUUUUCUACUUUAAGUUUUGUGUUGUGAAGUUUUCAAAUUUUGGGUAAAGAUUUGAUGGAUUAUGGAACAAGGAGUGGCAAUAGCCUAAUCUUGGGGAUGCCCAUGGCACCCCCAAGAUAAUCUAAGGACACCUAAAAGCCAAAGCUUGGGGAUGCCCCGGAAGUCAUCCCCUCUUUCGUCUACUUCUAUCGGUAACUUUACUUGGAGCUAUAUUUUUAUUCGCCACAUGAUAUGUGUUUUGCUUGGAGCGUCUUGUAUGAUUUGAGUCUUUACUUUUUAGUUUACCACAAUCAUCCUUGCUGUACACACCUUUUGAGAGAGCCAUACAUGAUUUGGAAUUUGUUAGAAUACUCUAUGUGCUUCGCUUAUAUCUUUUGAGUUAUGUAGUUUUGCUCUAGUACUUCAUUUAUAUCUUUUAGAGCACGGUGGUGGAUUUGUUUUAUAGAAACUAUUGAUCUCUCAUGCUUCACUUAGAUUAUUUUGAGAGUCUUAAAUAGCAUGGUAAUUUUCUUAAAAUCCUAAUAUGCUUAGUAUACAAGAUUAAUAAUAAAACUUUCGUAUGAGUGUGUUGAAUACUAUGAGAAGUUUGAUGCUUGAUAAUUGUUUUGAGAUAUGAAGAUGGUGAUAUUAAAGUUGUGCUAGUUGAGUGGUUGUGAAUUUGAAGAAUACUUGUGUUAAAGUUUGUGAUUCCCAUAGCAUGCACGUAUGGUGAACCGUUAUGUGAUGAAGUCGGAGCAUGGUUUAUUUUUUGAUUGUCUUCCUUAUGAGUGGCGGUCGGGGACGAGCGAUGGUCUUUUCCUACCAAUCUAUCCCCCUAGGAGCAUGCGCGUAAUACUUUGCUUUGAUAACUUGUAGGUUUUUGCAAUAAGUAUAUGAGUUCUUUAUGACUAAUGUUGAGUCCAUGGAUUAUACGCACUCUCACCCUUCCAUCAUUGCUAGCCUCUCUAAUACCGUGCAACUUUCGCCGGUAUCAUACACCCACAAUAUACCUUCCUCAAAACAGCCACCAUACCUACCUAUUAUGGCAUUUGCAUAGCCAUUCCGAGAUAUAUUGCCAUGCAAAUUUCCACCGUUCCGUUUAUUAUGACACACUCCAUCAUUGUCAUAUUUCUUAGCACAUGUAGUCGACAUCGUAUUUGUGGCAAAGCCACCGUUCAUAAUUCUUUCAUACAUGUCACUCAUGAGUCAUUGCAUAUCCCAUCACACCGCCGGAGGCAUUCAUAUAGAGUCAUAUUUUGUUCUAAGUAUCGAGUUGUAAUUGUUGAGUUGUAAGAAAAAUAAAAGUGUGAUGAUCAUCAUUAUUAGAGCAUUGUCCCAGUGAGGAAUGGAUGAUGGAGACUAUGAUUCCCCCACAAGUCGGGAUGAGACUCCGGACGAAAAUAAAUAAAUAAAAGAGGCCAAAGAAGCCCAAAUAAAAAAAGAGAGAAAAGAGGCCAUAAAAAAGAGAGAGAAAAGGCCCAUAUAAAAAAAUGAGAGAAAAAGAGAGAAGAGGCAAUGCUAUUAUCCUUUUACCACACUUGUGCUUCAAAGUAGCACCAUGAUCUUCAUGAUAGAGAGUCUCCUAUGUUGUCACUUUCAUAUACUAGUGGGAAUUUGUCAUUAUUAAACUUGGCUUGUAUAUUUCCAAUGAUGGGCUUUCUCAAAAUGCCCUAGGUCUUCAUGAGCAAGCAAGUUGGAUGCACAACCACUUAGUUUCUUUUGUUGAGCUUUUAUAUACUUAUAGCUCUAGUGCAUCUGUUGCAUGGCAAUCCCUACUCACUCACAUUGAUAUCUAUUGAUGGGCAUCUCCAUAGCCCAUUGAUACGCCUAGUUGAUGUGAGACUAUCUUUUCCCUUUUUGUCUUCUCCACAACCACCAUUCUAUUCCACCUAUAAGUGCUAUGUCCAUGGCUCACGCUCAUGUAUUGCGUGAAGAUUGAAAAAGUUAGAGAACACCAAAAGUAUGAAACAAUUGCUUGGCUUGUCAUCAGGGUUGUGCGUGAUUUAAAUAUUUUGUGUGGUGAAGAUGGAGCAUAGCCAGACUAUAUGAUUUUGUAGGGAUAACUUUCUUUGGCCAUGCUAUUUUGAGAAGACAUAAUUGCUUUGUUAGUAUGCUUGAAGUAUUAUUAUUUUUAUGUCAAUAUUAAACUUUUGUCUUGAAUCUUUCGGAUCUGAAUAUUCAUACCAUAAUUAAGAAGAAUUACAUUAAAAUUAUGCCAAGUAGCACUCCGCAUCAAAAAUUCUGUUUUUUAUCAUUUACCUACUCGAGGACGAGCAGGAAUUAAGCUUGGGGAUGCUUGAUACGUCUCCAACGUAUCUAUAAUUUUUGAUUGCUCCAUGCUAUAUUAUCUACUGUUUUGGACAUUAUUGGGCUUUAUUUUCCACUUUUAUAUUAUUUUUGGGACUAACCUAUUAACCGGAGGCCCGGCCCAGAAUUGUUGUUUUUGCCUGUUUUAGGUUUUCGACGAAAAGGAAUAUCAAACGGAGUCCAAACGGAAUGAAACCUUCGGGAACGUGAUUUUCUCAACGAACAAGACCCAGGAGACUUGGACCCUACGUCAAGACACAAAAGAGGAGGCCACGAGGUAGGGGGCGCGCCUACCCCCCCCCCCCCAAGGCGCGCCCUCCACCCUCGUGGGCCCCCUGUUGCUCCACCGAUGUACUCCUUCCUCCUAUAUAUACCUACGUACCCCCAAACAGUCAGAUACAGAGCCAAAAACCUAAUUCCACCGCCGCAACUUUCUGUAUCCACGAGAUCCCAUCUUGGGGCCUGUUGCAUAGCUCCGCCGGAGGGGGCAUCGAUCACGGAGGGCUUCUACAUCAACACCAUAGCCCCUCCGAUGAAGUGUGAGUAUUUUACCUCAGACCUACGGGUCCGUAGUUAUUAGCUAGAUGGCUUCUUCUCUCUUUUUGGAUCUCAAUACAAUGUUCUCCCCCUCUCUUGUGGAGAACUAUUCAAUGUAAUCUUAUUUUUGCGGUGUGUUUGUUGAGACCGAUGAUUUGUGGGUUUAUGAUCAAGUCUAUCUAUGAAUAAUAUUUGAAUCUUCUCUGAAUUCUUUUAUGUAUGAUUGGUUAUCUUUGCAAGUCUCUUCGAAUUAUCAGUUUGGUUUGGCCUACUAGAUUGAUCUUUCUUGCAAUGGGAGAAGUGCUUAGCUUUGGGUUCAAUCUUGCGGUGUCCUUUCCCAGUGACAGUAGGGGCAGCAAGGCACAUAUUGUAUUGUUGCCAUCGAGGAUAACAAGAUGGGGUUUUCAUCAUAUUGCAUGAGUUUAUCCCUCUACAUCAUGUCAUAUUGCUUAAGGCAUUACUCUGUUUUUAACUUAAUACUCUAGAUGCAUGUUGGAUAGCGGUCGAUGAGUGGAGUAAUAGUAGUAGAUGCAGGCAGGAGUCUGUCUACUUGUCUCGGACGUGAUGCCUAUAUACAUGAUCAUACCUAGAUAUUAUCAUAACUAUGCUCAAUUCUGUCAAUUGCUCAACAGUAAUUUGUUCACCCACCGUAGAAUACUUAUGCUCUCGAGAGAAGCCACUAGUGAAACCUAUGGCCCCCGGGUCUAUCUUUAUCAUAUUAAUCUCCUGCUACUUAGUUAUUUCCUUUGCUUUUUUACUUUGCCUUUAUUUUACUUUGCAUCUUUAUCACAAAAAUACCAAAAAUAUUAUCUUAUCAUAUCUAUCAGAUCUCACUCUCGUAAGUGGCCGUGUAGGGAUUGACAACCCCUAUUCGCGUUGGUUGCGAGGAUUUAUUUGUUUUGUGCAGGUACGAGGGAGUCGCGCGUAGCCUCCUACUGGAUUGAUACCUUGGUUCUCAAAAACUGAGGAAAAUACUUACGUUACUUUGUUGCAUCAUCCCUUCCUCUUCGGGGAAAACCAACGCAAUGCUCAAGAGGUAGCAGCAGGCGCGCCCGCAGGUGUGGGUCUUUAUCCUCGGCCGCGCGGGCGCGAGCGACGGGGGACACGGUGCAUGGUCGGUGGGCUGCUCCGGUGGCCCUCUGACCUUAGAUCUGAAGGUUGCUUCUCCUCUUCCCUCUAGCCCGCUCACAACCUGUGCUAGCGCCGGUGCUUCUUUGUCGGUCUGUUGGUAGCUGGUUGCGGUGGUGUUUGUCGGGACCGGGAGAAAUCCCUGGUUGGUGUCCCCGACCACGGCGGUGGCCAGGCCCUCGGGCGCGGCUCCCCUUCUUGAAGGCACCGUCGAGAUCCCUUCUUCCCACCCCUUCCCCUCCAUUUCAAGGUUAAAUCAUGUAAUCCCUUGCGGAUUCGGCGACGGCGGCGCUCGGCGUCGUAACCUCCCUGAGGGCAUCGUCUGGUUAGAAGGGUGUUGGUGUGCGGUGCUAGAUCCGAGGUUUGCAAUUGCAACGGGGGUCCGUGUGACAACUUGGUUUCCAACAAUGUCGGGCUUGCCAUUGUCUGAUUGGUGCUUGCUGGCCGUCCCCUGUUCGCCGGUGCUCGGCUCCCUUGAGCCUGGGUGGAAGAGGAAAGGGUUCCCCUUCACGGCAACAGGGUCGUGGCAGCUCAAUGAGCACCAGGGCCGUGGCAGCUCAAUGAGCACCAGGGCCAUAUCCCUCGCAUCCUAUGCAAGAUUAGUUUCCUUGUUGUUCGCCGCAAGCUCGCUGCUUCUUCAGCUCCGAUGUGCCGUUUCUUGCAGCUUACUCUAUUCUUGUUUGGACACCGGCGGUCUGUGCUUAAUUUCAUAGUGAGGUAUGCCCGUUGUCGCGACACGGAUGUGUGCAAAUGUUCUGUGUCUUCUACCCCAAGAUCGUGUCUUUUCUUGUUCUAGGGUGAACUCAUCCCUCGCUCGACGGUGCGGCGUCCUUUGAGCCAGGACGAGGGGGUAGGGACCCUCUUCGGCGAGGGAGAAGGAAGGUGUGGUAUCUUUCUGGUCCAGUGCAGGAGCUUUGGCAUGUUUGUGGCCAAGGCGGUCGGCAAUGCCAUUGUUGCUGAUGUUUCCUUGGGCGCCGGUGUUUCGAGCUUCAAGGACGGUCCUUUCUUCAAGUGGUUCUUCAUAUCUAUCUAGUUUAGGUGCUUGUAGUUUGGGAUUGUGUUGUAAGCUGUAUCUUCAGCACCCAUGUAUAUUUGGGCCGCUCGUGUUUUAUUUUCUUUGUAAGUGGCGUUGGGCUGACUCUUGUUGGUUGUAAUACCUGGCGGUUGUUGCUUUGUUAAUUUAAAGCCGGAUUCGUCCUUGAGCCUUCGUUCUAAAAAAAAGAUAUAAUGCAUCUGCUCAUAGAGAUCCCAAGGAUUAUCUCACUUGGUGUGGAAAAAUCUUUUGUUUGAUUUGAGACUAAGUUUGCCUAAGAUUGCCAUAUCUAAGGUUAGAUAAGUUUGACUAACUUGAGUGGGUGUAUGGUUCAAGCCACACUUUAGGCAAGUCAUAUUAGGAUCUCACAUCACAUACACUCAAAAAGUAUGGUAAGAUUCUCUUAAGCUUACCAACUUAUGGCUUUCAUUUCGAAAACUAACCUUAGACAAAUAUGAUAAGAUUGUAUGACAAAGUGUGAUAUAAUUAGUCCUAGAACCAAACGGUCCCGACUACUAGUACUUCACACUUGCGGCAUGGAAAGCUUCACCUGUCUGAAAUCUGAAAUAAGUUGAGAUCUAGUCAGCAGAAUACCAGUCCAACACCUCGAAUUCUCUCUCUGAAAUAGCUGGAUCCAUCAUUGCAAACCAGUACAGUAUGCAUGCAUGGGCCAAUUAAUUAGGAAUUUAACACGAUCAGGCAAUUAAAUGUAGGAUAACAUCAACAUGCAUGUUUCUGUCCCUACAGGGUACUGCAGAGACUUCAGAUUGGUUUCAGAUUACUAGUUUUGAUUACUCACAGAAUGCAUCCCAAGUACUUCCUCCGUCCUGAUUUAUUGGUCCUUUUAUAUUUUGUGUCAAAUUUUAACCAACUAUUUAACUAACAAAAUAUUAGUACAUGUUAAAAAAAUUAUAUCGUUCCAUUCGUAUUUGAACAUAGUUUUAAUGAUAUAAUUUUUUGUAACAUGCAUAAACAUUUUGUUAGUUAAAUUUAUGAUCAAAAUUUGAUAAAAAAUACAAUGGGACUAAUAAACCAAGAGGAAGAUAGUACUAGUGUAUACUAAAAGGUCAAAGAUUUUAAUACCCUGGCAUUGUCAGGUCAACUUAGGGCGUGUACAAUGAUGACAUAUAGAUACAGAUGCCUCAUGACAAAAAGUAGCUUGAAGUAGCUGAGUUGAUUUUUCUUUCUCCCCGAUGUAAGCUGCCGCUAGUGGACCUUAUCAAAGAAUAAAAAAUAAAGACUCUCAUUACACAUGCAUCUGUACUAUUCAUUUCAACCUUUUCAGCUUUAUGCAUCGGUUCACAUUUUUUCUUUCCAAGCAACCACCUUCUAUAGAGGAUCCUGCUGCUAUAUCCGAAUUUACUUUUCCUUACAUCUGAUCCUACGUGGCCUACGAGGUAUCACCCUAAAGCUAUGCAUUGGUCAUGCCCUCACAAAACAGCCUUGUGCGACUGUACAAAGGGCUUCUCGGCACAAUCGAACCACACAACACUAGCUCAAUUGAUGGUAAAUCAUAAAUAGAUAUAAGGUGGCUGAAAAUGACACCACGCAUGCAGGAACACUAGAUUUAUUGUACUCCUAUUUAUCAUUUAGAAACACUACUAGUAACCCUGGAUUUGGACUAGUCUAUGGAUAUCAGGGGGAAUUUAAGAAGUUAACAAGAAGGACCGAAGACCACCAGAAAAUACUGCAAAUCAACAUUAAUGACAGAGACAGCACUGCGUGCCUUAAUAGGAGUACUAUUUAUUUAUUUGUACACACAUCAGCUGGGUCCCAAUCCUUGUGUUGACAUGACACUACUGUACGCGGAUCACACAAGCUGCUAUAUCUAGGACGCGAAUUUGGUAAACAUGGAUGCGCGUGCCCCCUUGAUGAAUAGUAAAUUCGAAAAAAUGUUAGAAAAAAUCAAAGAAAAGGAAUUUAUUUUUGUAAUGUACAUAGUCAAUUGGUAUACUCACAUAUGUAUUUUCUUCACAAAAAAUACCAUAGGUGUCAAUACAUCAUGAAACUUCAUACAUGAGUAAAAUGAUCGACUAAGUUUCAUACCGUGAAAUUUCAGAAUUUUUAAAAUUUUUCUAGUAAUUUUUAUGAAUUUACUAUUCACUUGGGUACAUGCGCACCGUGUUCACUUUUGUAUUUUCGCUAUAUGAGUAGUAUACAUUAGAAAAUACUAUUAGCAAGUACUACUGGAGUAGUAUUAUAUUUUGAUUGCCCAGGGGUGGAUGGAGUGGUCUAGGCAGAGCAAAGCAGAGCAGAGGGGUGGCGAUGAUGAUGAUUAGGAAGGAAUCAGUGUUCCUCGUGGGGAUCCUUUUUAAUUAUGGGAACCUCAUGCCGUUAAAGAGAGAAGACACGGACGUACUAUGCAAAGAAAAGAAAUUGAAAAAGAAUGCGAGAUAUGCAGGCAUGUCAUCGCCUGGCCGGCUGGCCCCCAUCACAUGAUGUCCCCGUUGAUGCCACUCUCCGGGAGGCAAACACGCGGCCUGUCCAAACCAAAACCUCACUUAGAAGUAGUAUAUUGCCAUCAUACAAUUCGUGCGCGCAUUGCAUGCAUGUUCGGAGUGCACGCGGCAGAUGGACUCGUCGAGUCAUUGGCCAAUUGCAUGCACCGCAUGCUCAUGAUUAAACGUAUCCAUGAGUGUAUGAGAGAUCGGGUUACAGUGAACGUAUCAUGUGCACUGUUGUUAUAAAUGGCACGCAUCAUGGCAUGGCAUGGCAUGAACAAGCUCGCACUCGACGGCGAGUCGGACUUGUGCAUGCGUGGUUGUGAUAAUUAAGCAUUUGAAUGAACACAAGAUUAAGGUCUAGAGAAGCUAGCCAAACUGAGUCAUGCGGCAUACGGCGACUGAUUCGUUGUCAAGAGAAGACGGCCAAUGGGUAGCACCGUAGUAGUCAGCAUCAUCUGCUUUUUCGCCCACGGUAGGGUAGGGCGUGCAUAUCCGUUGUUGCCUCUUGUGUUGUCGACACGCACGCAUGCGCAUUUAGCUAGCGUCGCGGCCGUGCGCGAGGGUCAAAAAGCAGUUGAAAAGAACGACGGGCCGCAACCACGACGAGCACUGCAGUGCAAGCAAGAUCUCCCUCCCCGAUCCAUUUCCAAUUGGCGACUCAACUUUCACUCGUUUUCUCCUCUGUCUUUCUGUCUCUCUCCCUGACGCCGAUAUAUCAUAUGGAAUUAUGGAUCUUCGAGACCCACAUGGCACCAGCACCACACUUCCACCGCAUUGAGCAGCAAGCAUUUUUUUUUUUGUCUCGACUGAAGGAGCACAAAGCUCCCAAUUUCAAUGCGUUGCAUGAAAUUGACCUGCAAGCGAACAGGAGCUGCGCGUGCUCCCACCGGCCACCAUGCAGGCCGGACGCACGAUAUUUUUUCCUCUUCUCUUCCCGUCCGUGUGGCUGCACGGCCUGCCUAGGCGCCUUGUCACGGCACAACGUCGUGGACGGCAUCUUGGGUGCCCAGAACAUGUGCACCGAUGUUUGACAUGCACGUAACGUAUGGGGUAACAGCCAUGUCUUGCACGUUCGGGCUCACUCCCAGGGCCGCGCUUGCUUUUACUGAGUUUCAAAAGGAGCACUGUUCGUUCCGUUCGUUUGUCUCGCGUCGGCGUCUCGAGAAGGAGAGAUGGAGCGCGUGUUGAAGAAUGCUACAGGCGUGAGCGUGAGCUGUCUGUCAGGACACGGUGACCGAUGCGCAAACCGUGAGAGCCUCGCAGUCGCAAGCAGGCAACUGCAAGCGGCGCCGGCGCGGCGCGAGUGAUGAGGGCGACGCAGCAUGCAUGCAUGAUGCAUUCAUAGAGGCAGGCAGGCACCCAGGCAAGCUGCAGACAGGCAGACACGCAGGGGCUUGCAAAAACCACUCAAAAACAAAAGAGACGCCGACCUCGAACUCCAAGCCGGUGAACAAGGAAACAGGCACGUACCCAAAUCCGGGGCAGGCCCCUCAUGACCGUGUAACCAAUGGCACUACACCUCAGCAAUGCACGCAGGCUGCAAAGUGCAGCGAGACCAAAAGGGUAGCUUUUAUGGAUGAGGCAAAGCUUUUGCCUCCGUUUAAAAAAAAAAAAGAGGUAGCUUCUCUUAUCUUGUUCUGCAUGCCUAAGGACGGGCAUGCAGAUGCAUGCCUGCGUGGAGCAGCUAUAGCAGGAUAUGUGUUCUUUAUUUAUCUUCUUUUUUCCUUUUCUGAAUGGCUGUGUUCUUCAUUUCUUUGUGGCCUCACUAGUCUCUGGAUGUGCAUCCUGCUGCCAUAUACUCACUUUGUUCAAAAUUACUUGUCGCAGAAAUGGGUGUAUCUAGAUGUAUUUCUAGAUACAUCCAUUUCUGCGACAAGCAAUUUUGAACGAAGGAAGUAUCUCUCUAGUCCUGUCAGAUUACCUAUCUACGUGUACUGUAUCUCACACUAGAAGAGGAAAUUAAGAGUGACAACGCAACGCAUGGGAAAUGUACGUGGUAUACUGGUACUGUAUGUGAUAAGCGUAUCUUCCUCUUCUUUCUUGAUGAUGGGGCAAACAGUUGAACUGUUGGCGCACAUGUGCGCCCAUGGCACACUCCAUGCAGCACAGUUUGAGUGGCCCUCUCAGCCGAGGCACACGAGUCCAAAGAUCUCCAGCCAGCCUGAGCCUGCAAAGUCACCAGUCGUAGCAGGGAAGCAGUCGCGCAGUACUCGGGGUGAUCAAUGCGCGCCAUGCAUGGCCGGCAGCAUGGGCGUACGAUCACAGAAUAUGCACAGAGACACGCACACGCAGCAGAGAGGCAGAGACCAAAAUUGACAAAUUUAGGGCUAGUUUGGUUGGGCCAACUCCACCAAGCGAUCCCAAACGGAUGUCCGUUUUGUUCGAAUUCUGUCUGUUUGGAUAACGAUUUGGGUUCAUGUCCGGACGUGUCCUGGGAUGUAGUCGCCGUACGCCCAGCGCGCGGCCGCAUCCAUUUCCCAAUCCUGUCCGCAUCUAUUUAAAAAAGCAGAAGCAACGUUUCAAAUGCCAAGCCUAGUUCAGGCCAGCGGCCCCGGUUCAUCACGCCGGCAACAGAGCCAGCGGCCUACACGUCCAUCGCCGGCAUCAGCCAGCGGCCGGCAACACAGCUAGCCUUCAAAAAUGAAUAGUUGUCCUCGCCGGCAACACAGCCAGCGGCCGGCAACACAGCCGGCCACCAAAAUGAAUGUUUUCUCGCCGGCACACAGCCAGCGGCCCAGCGGGCAGGCGGCACCCAUGCCAGCCUCCAAAAAGAACGACCACGGCCGAUCGGACGACCUAGUUCAGGCCUUCGGUUUCGAGCAUCUCCUUUUACUUGGCCUCGAACCAGACCCUCGUCUUGUCGCUCAUCUUCGACAAGUUCACGCUCGUGAUCGCAAGGGUCACCUCUUUCGCUUUGGUGGCGGCGUUCGUGGCCUCGAUGUCGAGCUGCCUCUGUCUGGCCUUGACGUUGUCGGCCUCGAUGUCGAGCUGCCUUUGCCAGGCCGCCUCCUUCAUGUCGAUCUUCCUCCUCUUGGCCGCAUCCUCCAUCUCAAGCUUCUUUGUUUGAAGGUCUAGGUAUUGCUUCAUUUGCUCCUCCUUGCUUUCCCGCUUCUUCUCGUCCCUCACAUCCUUUUGGGAUAUCAUGCCAUGCAAACUGUCAUGCAAUGCCAUGGAUGAGGCAUCACGUAUGUCAUCAACCUUGGAGUUGGUCUUGCCCCUCGGCCUCUUCAAGGCCUCGCCAUCUCCACCUCCGGCGUACUUGGCUGUCUUUAGUCCUCUCUUCCUUUGUAGUUCACGGUAUUGGUCCUUGAACUUAGGGCAAUUGUUGAUAAUCGUCCAACAAUGGGUAAGAGUGAAUGGCUUGUCAUUGUGCCGGGCCUUGAAUGCCUCCAAAGAUUGAAAUGUCUAAAUCACAUGAUCAACAACAAGUGAACAUGCAAACAUAUACACGGCCGAAGUGUCAUGGCCAUAGCAAGAAAAGGGCUAGGAAGAGGAGAGCAUACCAUGUCCCCAACGCCGAGACCACUCACGGGCCGUGCUUCAGCGCUCUCAAAUGCGGCGCAAUACUUGUUGCACUCUUGUUGGAUGAACAACCAUCUCUUUUGAAUCGAGCCGAUGCCACGGUUACUUGUAAAUUGGUAGGGCUCAAACAUCUUCCUUUCAUGAAAUGUUUUGUGGACUCUCGUCCAAAAAACAAUGCCCUUUUGUUGCGCGCCGGUCCUCGGAUCUUGGCUAAUCUCCAUCCAAGCUUGGCAAAUCAUCUUGUCCUCAUCUUGUGUGUAUGAACCCGUGCGAAUGUUCUUCCUCUUCUUUUGUGCUUCCGCUCUUUGGGUGAGCUCAUCGAUGAACAAUGGCUCGCCACUAAUAUCAACGCCAUUGCCUUCUUCUUCAUCACCUUCGACAUAGAUGUCAUCGUCUUCAUGCCAUGAGUCACCAUGGUCGUAGUCAGCACGAUCGUCGGCCUCUUCAUCGGGCACGUACUCGGCGCGGCCAUCUUGACUUUGGGUCUCCUCGGGGUCGUAGGCACGGCCAUGCCCACCCUCGAAGAUCACAUCCUCCAUGUACUGGUUGUAGAAGGGGUCGUCGACCGUUGGCGUUGGGGUUGGCAUUCCGUCAAACAAGACGCGCGGGGGAGGGGCGGCAUGGUGCCCGUGAACGGUGCACGUGCCCGCUUUCUUUGCAUCUCGACGGACGGCCGCCCGCCGCUGCUGGACCCAGGCGUGACGUUGAGGUCGAUGACGGUCGCGGGGCGCGGUGUGGACGGCGCGAACAAGCCCACGUCCGGCGACACCGAGAAACGGGUCUGGCCGUCGUGCCUUGGCGGAGGAAAGUCGGGCGACAUGGGCGCGGCGCGCGACGUCGGCGAUUGGCAGUGCAUAGGCUGGGCGACCGACGAGCCUGUGCUCACCGGGUCGACGGCCGCUGCAGGGAACCCGGCCGGACGGCCCAUGCCAAGCAUGGGGAUGGCGUGCGCUUUGUUGACGAGGUCCUCCUUCUCGUCGGCAGCGGCCUUGCGCCGCACGGCCUCCAGCUCCUCGCGAUGGGCGGCGAACUUGGCCAUGGCGGCAUUGACCUUGACGGCCGCUCUCCGUUCGCUCCUCUUCGUCGAUUCCGCGUCCAACUUGGCGAUCUCCUCCGGCGUGCACUCCGAUCGCGGCUUCCUUGGCGCCUUCUUCUUCACCUUUGUAGGCGAGUCGACGGCCAGGCCGCCGGAACUCGGCGGGGCAUCGGUGAUGGCCUGGGGAGAGAGGGGCGGCGGGAGGGACGUGGAAGGGUUUGAAGAAAAUGGCGGCAAAUGGGCGUGGGGGGUUUUGGUUUCUCCCACCGACAGGCGGGCCAGGGGAGGACAAGCGCGCGCGUCUCGCCCGUCCGCGCACUGUCCGUUUCACCCCAAAACUGCGCAAACUUGGGCCGGUGAUGGGUCGAAAGCGGACACAAAGCAGACAAAAGUCCGUUUGCGCCCGCGUGCUGGGCCGUCUCGUUUGUCCCUUUUACCUCAAACGGACGGGGGCGGACAGGAUAGGGUCGCGCGGUGGAGUUGGCCUUACUAGCCUGGAGACCGUGCCUGAAGAGGCAAAAUUUUGUGUUUUGACCUUUUUUUGAAACCUAUUCGAAAUUUGACCCUAAUAUAAAUUUUUUUCGAGAUCUGAUCCUUUUACUACCGCCAGGGUCCAUGGCGGUAGGGUGUAACAGCCUACCACCAGGUACCUUGGCGGUAGGAAACAUCCCUACCGCCAAUCAUACUGGCGAUAGCAUGUACAACCCUACUGCCAAGGUGCUUGGCGGUAGGCAUGAGCACGCACUGUGUUCAACAUUUAGAAGAAUUUUGCGGUAGGGCAUGCAAUCCUACCGUCAGGGACCUGGCGGUAGGCUGUUAGACCAUAUCCCAUGGACCUUGGCGGUAGCAAAAGGGUGAGAUUUCGAAAUUUUAUCAGACUGGGGCAGAUCUCGAAUAGAUAUCAGAAAAGGGUCAAAACACGACAUUUAGCCGCCUAACGAAUAUAGUCGCCUGGACUUUGCUGAGAAUUUGAUAUUUCAUGCCAGGAGGACGUAUGUUUGAUUACUGCCUGGCGGGGUGUACUAGUAUCAAUAAAUAAUUAUAGCAAAAGAGCUAAGAAAAGGAAGGUAUUGACUGGCACGAGUCCCCACACUAGCAUUACGCGUUAGGCUGGUCAUAGUGGGGAGUAACAUAUACUAGUAUCAUGCAUAUGAUACUAGUGUAUGAUACUACAUCUAUAGUGCAUAGUAUCAUAAAGUAGUAUUAUAGGUGGUCUCAUUUAUUGCCAUGCAUGACACAUAGUAGCAUAACAUUUAUUAUGUUACUGUAUCUACCUAUGUUACUAUGACCUUCUCUCUUUUCUUUAAUUUCCUGCCACGUAAGCAUGUUUGCGAGUCCCAAGUAUAUGAUACUAGUUAUGUUACCCCCACUAUGGCCAGCCUUAGGCAGUUGUUAGCCUGUGUCCAGGCAUGGGAAAUCAGAAGCCUGGCAGGCUAAUGAAGAUGCCUGGUUAUCCAGGCCAGGCAACCGCUACUUUUUCCAGGAAUCAAACCAAACAGCUCCCAGGCAGGUCACACGCAUGGUCCAGGCCAGGCUUGAAACACUCAGGACGCAAACCAAACUAACCCUUAACCUUAGAGCGAAAGUAUUUCACAAACAAAAUUGUUUUUUAAGUAUUUCACAUAUUUUAUCCUAAUGUGCAGCACCUGAUAGCAAGGCGCUGCACUCUACUAUGUAGUUUCUUACAGCUAGGCGCUGCACAGUGUAGUGCAGCUCCUAACUGUCGGGCGUUGCACAGGUGUGGCGCCUGAGUGUUAGGUGUUGCAUAGUAGAUUACAGCGCCUUGCUAUCAGGCGCUUGAUACGUCCAUUUUGCAUCAUGCUUUUAUAUCGAUAUUUAUUGCAUUAUGGGUUGUUAUUACACAUUAUGUCACAAUACUUAUGCCUAUUCUUUCUUACUUUACAAGGUUUACAUGAAGAGGGGGAAUGUCGGUAGCUGAAAUUUUGGUCUGGAAAAGGAGCAAAUAUUAGAGACCUAUUCUGCACAUCUUCAAAAGUCCUCAAACUUCACGGGAGCAUGUUUCAGAAUAUAUAAAAAAUAUUGGGCGAAAGAAGUUCCAGGGGAGGGCCACUCACCGUCCACGAGGGUGGGGGGCGCGCCCCCUGCCUCGUGGGCCCCCUGGUGGCCCUCCGAUGUCCAUCUUCUGCUAUAUGAGGUCUUUCGUCCGAGAAAAAAUCAUAAGCAAGCUCACGGGACGAAACUCCGCCGCCACCAGACGGAACCUUGGCGGAACCAAUAUAGGGCUCCGACAGAGCUGUUCUGCCGGGGAAACCUCCCUCCGGGAGGGGGAAGUCAUCACCAACGAUUCUCUCAUCGAGAGGGGGCCAAUCUCCAUCAACAUCUUCACCAACACCAUCUCAUCUCAAACCCUAGUUUAUCUCUUGUAUCCAAUCUUUGUAUCCAAAUCUCAAAUUGGUACCUGUGGGUUGCUAGUAGUGUUGAUUACUCCUUGUAAUUGAUGCUAGUUGGUUUACUUGGUGGAAGAUCAUAUGUUCAGAUCCAUUAUGCAUAUUAAUACCCCUCUGAUUAUGAACAUGAAUAUGCUUUGUGAGUAGUUACGUUUGUUCCUGAGGACAUGAGAGAAGUUUUGCUAUAAGUAGUCAUGUGAAUUUGGUAUUCGUUUGAAAUUUUGAUGAUAUGUAUGUUGUCAUCCCUCUAGUGGUGUCAUGUGAACAUUGACUACAUGACACUUCACCAUUAUUUGGGCCUAGAGGAAGACAUUGAAAGUAAUAAGUAGAUGAUGGGUUGCUAGAGUGACAGAAGCUUAAACCCUAGUUUAUGCGUUGCUUCGUAAGGGGCUGAUUUGGAUCCAUAUGUUUCAUGCUAUGGUUAGGUUUACCUUAAUACUUCUGUUGUAGUUGCGGAUGCUUGCAAUGGGGGUUAAUCAUAAGUGGGAUGCUUGUGCAAGUAAGGACAGUACCCAAGCACCGGUCCACCCACAUAUCAAAUUAUCAAAGUAUCGAACGCGAAUAAUGUGAACGUGAUGAAAAGUAGCUUGACGAUGAUUCCCAUGUGUCUCCAGGAGCGCUUUCCUUCAUAUAAGAGUUUGUCCAGGCUUGCCCUUUGCUACAAAAAGGAUUGGGCCAUCUUGCUGCACCUUAUUUACUUUUAUUGUUUGCUACUCGUUACAAAUUACCUUAUCACAAAACCAUCUGUUACCGAUAAUUUCAGUGCUCGUAGAGAAUACCUUACUGAAAACUGCUUAUCAUUUUCUUCUGCUUCUCGUUGGGUUCGACACUCUUAUUUAUCGAAAAGACUACGAUAGAUCCCCUACACCUGUGGGUCAUCAGCGCUGCACAUUAAGAUCAAAUAGGUGAAAUACUUUAAAAACAAUUUAGUUUGUGAAAUAGUUUCAUACUGAGAUUAAAUUUGUGCCUUUUGCCGCCUCUGCAUGUUGCGUUGUGCUCGUCCAUGCGUGCGCAAGUCGGUGGGAUCUGGCUGGCAAUAUAGCCCGGUUCCGCUAAAGAUAGAUUCCCCUUCUGGCUCAGGUUCAGAUUCAGGUGUGCCUGUGUGCUUGACUUGGACCAGCAGCGCAGGUGUAGACCCCAUCCGCGCAUACAUGUCCAUGGCCAGCCAGCUCCCAACAGCAACUUGCCAUGACAUAUUUUCUUCUGCUGCCAAUGGCAUCGAUGAAUCAGAUCGGAUCGGAUCUCCUUCCUUCAAUUUUGCAUUUCCAUUUACACUUCGUGCAGAAAUCGUCAAACUCACACACGAAAGAACACGGUAAAUAAAAAUCACAGAAUGAGAAUACUAGCAUGACAAACGAACUGAACUUCGAUCACCAGGGCCCUCUCGCACACAAAGCAUGACAGAGACAGACCAUACAACCCAACCUAAUCAUAUCAUUAUCUUGUGGAAAAUCACAGACUAUAACACGGCGCGGCAAGGUGUUCUUGAUUAACACUGCGUCAACAUAUGAGUCCUGACCGGACAUACUAUUGUUAGAUAUAAACAUUUGCAACAUCUCAAUGUAGUCUCAACUACUUUUAUCUCUAUCCUCCCCCUGUAUCUAUCUCUUGUAACAGAUUGUCGUAUCUAAACAGCCGGUCAUAUCGGGCAUGUAAAAUGGUUGAUAAGACAGUCUUAUCUUAAGUCUUGCAUGUAAUUUAGAGAUGACAAUAAAAAUAUGUCUAUAAUGGUUAUCUCUUAGUUCUUAUCUUCAAUAACUAGUUAUUCCUAAAAAUAUGAUGAGAUAUAUUAUGCUAAGUGAUCAUACUUUAAAUAAGAAAAGACAUGUUUUUUUUAAUGAUUUCUACCUCCUCCACCCCAACAUUUAUCCUACAUAGAGCUUCUAAGACAACCACCAUUUUACAUGCCCUUAUACGCCACAACAAGGUUGUUUUGAAGAGAUAAAAUAAACCUCACAUGGCUCUACGGAAAGUAGGAACACUUCUAUCUACAAGUCAUACAGAGCCAUCCUCCUUCCAUCGAUCUAACUACCAGAAACCUAUCCACCAUCGUCAUGUCUUCCACCUCGGUUGCCAUCAUCCCGUCUGGGCAUAUGAUCUGCGCGCCUUGUAGGGCCGGCAUGACCCGGGUCUUCCAUAGGAGUAAAUCUUUGUCACAACCUCUCGUGGAACCUGGGCCACCAUCGUCACAACUUCGCGCGGCUACUACAUUGGAAACAUGGUAAAAUUUUGUAGUCUGAUGACUUGUCCCAAUUUAGUAGCUGGGCGAUGUUGUUGCAUCAUUUACGUUUAUGUCGCGUGUUUUUGUAUGGAUUAGAGGCUUGCUAAUUAAGGUGUCUAAUUUUGUGAAGCAAGAUUUGAGAUGUUACAGGUCAAUGCCCGUGAACGCGCCCGGGCAAGUGCGCUGCCGUUUAGAGGUUCAAGUUAGCAAGUUGUGGCUGUAGAUGCUCUAAGGAGCCAUCUUUUCCCUUGUGGUUGUGGACGAAUGAACCAAAAUGAAAAAGGAUUGUGAUAAGAUUAAUUGGGUAUGUAUCAUUAGUGGAGUAGAGCAUGGAACUCGCUUGAAAUAGCUUAGGUUAGCUUAGGUAGUAGACUAGCUGCUAGCAGAUUUGUUAAUGAGGCCGAGCUAGAUGACCUUAACAGCACUUGCGCACCCAUCAUUACCAUCAUGACAACUUCAAUCCUUUAUGUGUCACCGUAUGUUCUCAACAGCGAAUCAUGCAUUCGUGUAGUUUUUUUUUUGGAACUGAAUCGAGAAUAGUUCAGUACUUUAUUGCCACUCUCAAACUGUAGGCAUUUCAGACUGGAGCAAUCGAUAGUACUACCUCCGUCCGGGUUUAUUAGUCCUUAUUGCAUUUUGAGUCGAAUUUUGACCUUUAAUUUUACUAUAAAAAAUAAGUUCUAUAAGAUAAAAAUAGUAUCAUUGUAAACCUCUUUUGAAUAUAAAUUCAACAAUACAAGUUUUGUGACAUAUAACUUAGAUUUUGUUAGUCAAAUCUACGGUCAAAGUUUGACCCAAAAUACGAAGGGGGGCCAAUAAAUCAGGACGGAGAUAGUGUAAAUUACCAAAGAGCACAUAAAAUGAAUAUGAGUGCAAUAAUGCAUCUGCCUAUUAGGAUGCCAAGGAUUCACCUCACCUGGUGUGGAAUUUCAUCUCUCAGAUUAGUACAUGUGGGCAUGACUAGUAUAGAAUCUGAGCCUAGGGUGCAAAAAUAGAAAAAAUGGAUGUGUACCAUCGGAUGGGAAAUUGAUGGCCCAGAUUUGGGUGGGUCGCUGUGUGCGCAAAAUUUGCAAGAAAGUCCCUCCCUGCAAGCUAUUUCAUUCCCCAUGCCCCUCGUCGUUCAAACCCAAAUCCACUCGGCAGAGAGCUAGAUACUACAGCGCACGAACCAAAAUCUCCCCGACGGCGGCCACGGCGGCAGCCCAGAUCUCUCCUCCAAGCUGAGCGAGUACGCCCGGUAGAGGCGGCACAGAUCCCUCCUCCAUGUUGUUCCAACUCUUGACGGCUCCCUACCAUUGUGUGGGUGGCGUCCCGGUUUGAGGCGGACCAGAUCGGAGCUCGUCGGCAAUCUCCGCCCCGCUGCUCGUCGCAGCCUCCCUUCUGAAGCUCCGGCGGCGGUGCCUUCGUCGCCUCUCUCCCGCGCUCUCUCUCUCUCUCUCUCAUGCUCUAGUAUUAGCUCGCAUCCGGCAUCCUCCUCCCUCACGUCGCGGCAAGCCGGUGGUGGUCUCCUCGGCUCCUUCCCAACCGGCCCGUGCGACGAGGUGGUUCACCUUUAAAUACGUGCUAACUUUUGUUUGUUAGUAAAUUUGUGCUACAUCCCAAUUUUAUUAUCAUGUAGAUUUGUACUGCAUCUCUCUAGUUCUGUUUUCUUGUUCAUGUCGAGUGAAUGAUGCAGUUUAACAACUCCGAUUUGAUGGUGCAUUGCUAGUGUUUUAGGUGUUUUGGUAAUCUCUUUGAACAUUUUGAUUCGCUGAUUAGUAUUCUGGAGGAUCAAGUUGGAAGGUUGAGGAUGGUUAGAUAAUCGCGACGGCGUGAACUUCAGGAAAAUUAAGUAAAAAUAUUAGUACCUGUAGUUCUUAUACAGAGUCAAUAGCUUGAAAAGCUGGAAAGAAAAUAAAUUGAUUCUGCUAGGCAAAAAAAUGAAAUUGGUCCAUUUGUCAGCAUAUCAAAAUUUUGAUUCAUGUAUACAUGAUUCACCGCUGGAAAUAGUACAAAGUUGAGUCAUCUAUUUUGGAACGGAGGGAGUAUGAAUUAUGAUUCCCAAAGAUGGUGACAUUGAGGGUCAACAAUUUAUGCAUACAGGGCCAACAAUUAGAAAUGUCCUAGUAAAUAUUCUAAUUCAUAGACUGUUGCCCUAGGUUGCGUCCUUUAUGUGAUCUUUGUGCCUAAUGUCUGAACUACAAAAGUUGAUCUCAUUUUUGACUUUGCAAUUCUCAUCUCGGGACAAGUGAAAAAAUAUCUCAUCUGAGGAUUCAGUAAUGGAGGGGAGCAGCACUAUUUCGCCAUCAGGAGAGCCCAUAGUUGCAAUGGCCACAACAUAUGCACCAGCACUAUCAGGUGAGAAAUCCGUCUAAGAAAGUAAAUAAUCUGUUGAGGUACCUAACAUUUUGUUAAUCCCUUGUGUGAUGUUGUUUCCUAUAAAAUUGUUUGCAGCCAUGGAAUCGGUCAAUAGUGCUCAAAAUCAAGAUUUCAGCAAUGGUACCUUGUUUGCAGAGAUUAAUUCCCCAAUGCUUGUCAUUACUGAUUCCAGUACACUGGAAAAGAAACAAUCGUUCUUUCAAGAGGUACACACACUUCUGGAUUUUAUGUACGUAAAAAUUUCACUUCUGUCCAUGUUCCAUGAUUUCGUUAAUAUUUCAUAGGAAAAUAUACGGCCUUAUCAUCUAUCAUGUCCAUGCCAAAUCAUAGGUGCGGAACAAGUAGGCGCUAAUGUGAACAACCGAUAGAUUUCAUGGUUCAAACUACAAGGUCCUAUAAAUGUUCACAACCUGUGUUUAGUACUAUUGGUCAUGUUGUGUUAUACUAGUUACUGCAAAGCAUAAUGUAAUGCAUGCCAUCAUUCUUUGUUUUGUACUGUUGAAUUAGAAUAAUAAUCUGCCUUUUUGUUCAUUGCCAUUUCUUCGCAUUGCUAUUUCUGCUUUUACGUGGUUCUCUUGUAAUUUGCUUGAGCCUAUGUUAAAACUUCAUCAAGUGUGAACAUAUGACACUUGCAUGGACCUGUGCUAACUUAACUUUAUUUGUUAGGUUUGAUCUCUCCCAGCACAAGAAGCAUGAUGAGCAAGAAGCACUAGAACUGGAGGCAAAAGGAUGCAACUUUUCUGUUCUGUAACACCAUUCUAGGAAAGUUGAUGCAGUUUCUAAUGGCACUGCUUGUUGAGUUGUGAUUUAUUUUCGUCGUUCAUAGUCAGUCUUGCCCAUGAUGUACCACAAAUGAUCCUCUAAUCCAAUGUAACACUUGAUAUGUAUUCAUGUCUCUUCUGUUGGCUCAUGAUUGUGAUUGUGCAGUUUGGAAUCUAUGUUUGCUUGAAGGUGAAUUAAUUCUCAUGUACUGAAAGAUGUUUCUGAUGAUGCUCACAUACUUUUUGGUGACCAACAUGUUUGAAUUUCUUGCAUGAUUCGUGAUAACACAAGUUACUGAAAAAAUUAGGUACACAGAAGCUUCACGCAGUACAUAUGUGCAGAUUUUUUAUAAAUCUAAGACGAGAGGAUUUUUUAUAAAUCUAAGACGAGAGGGCAUCUGUACAGAUCUGAAAAGUAGUCUUAUUAAUGAAGAAUUGUAUGAUUGAUAUAUGAGAGCUUUGAGGUGGUUACUGCAAAAGUUAUCUUCUAUAUGUAACUAGUUGUAGGGGGGUUUCUUGAAAUGUACAUUGAGAACCCUGCACCUCAAUCUGUACCAAUGAUUCAGCAUCUAAUGGCUCAGGUUUGUUUUUCUAUUUUUGCACCCUAGGCUCAUUUUCUAUACUAGUUGCUUCCAGUACAUGUAGACACUUGUGCAUGGCAUGGGCAGCUUCACCUGUCUGAAUUCUGAAAUAAGUUGAGAUCUGGUCAGCCUCGAAUUCUCUCUCUGAAAGAGCUGGCUCCAUCAUUGCAAACCAGUAAAGCAUGCAUGGGCCAAUUAAUUAGGAAUAAACAACUCUCAGGCAAUUAAAUGCAGGAUAACAUGUGCAUGCAUGUAGGCUGCAUGCUUCUGUCCCUACGUACAUACUCCAUCAGUUCCAUAAUACAAGAUCGUUUUUCAAGUAAAGAUAGAUUAAAAAACGAUCUUAUCUUAUGAUACGGAGGGAGUAGAUUGCAGCUUAAUUUCAUAUUAGGUUCGCUUAUUCACUGCAGAGGAGGUCCUUCCUUGUGCCUAACCAACUGUUAUUUUUUCUACAGAGUGUAUAUAUAAUCUCACAAACAGACUGUACAAACAGCUUCUCAGCACGAACCACACCAGUAAGCACACAAGUCCAAUUGAUCAUAUACAAAAACAGUAUAAUCGGCUGAAAAUGACACUAUGCAUGCACGAAUCCUGGUUUUAUUUUAUCACUUACUAAAAACAUGUACUCCCUCCGUAAACUAAUAUAAAAUCAUUUAGAAUACUAAAGUAGUGAUCUAAACCUUUUUACUAUAUUAGUUUACAGAGGGAAUGGUAACUCAUGAUUUGGACCACUCUGUGGAUCUCAGGGGGAAUUUAAUUGGUUAACAACAACAUAGGACCAAAGACCACCAGAAAAUAAUGCAAAGCGACAUUAAUGACAGAGACAGUAGUGCAUGCCCUAAUAGUAUUUUUUUUGCAUGCAAAUAAGCUGGGCCCAAUCCUUGUGAUGACACUAUUGCAGUUGUUAAUCACCUGGACAUAGGUGCAUCACACAAGCUGCUCUUUAUAGAAAGUAUACUUUAGAAAAUAAGCACUAUUAGCAAGUACUGCUCGUACUAUUAUUGUAUUACUGAUUGCCCUGUGGUGGAGUGGUCUAGGCAGAGCAAAGCAGCGCGGAGGGGUGUCGAUGAUGAUGAUUAGCUAGGAAGGAAUCAGUGUUCCCCGUGGGGCUCCUUUUUAAUUGUGGGAACCUCAUGCCGUUAAAGAGAGGAGACACACUAUGCCGGCCCCCAUGAUGUGUCCGCUGAUGCCACUCUCCAGGAGGCAAAAACAUGCGGCCUGUCCAAAGCUAAUCUUCACUUAGUCGUGCGUCGCGGCAGCAAUUGGCCAAUUGCAUCAUGCGUCGCAUGCGCGUAAUUAAACACACACGAGUACAGUAUAUGAGAUCGAGUUACAGUGAACAGAUCGUGUGCACUGUUGUUACCCAUGGCACGCAUCAUGGCAUGAGCAAGGUCGCGCUCGAGGGGCGAAUUGGGCUUGUGCAUGCAUACAUUGUGGUGAUAAUUAAGCAUUCGAAAACACAACAGCAGCAGCAGAUCGAGAGCAGCAAGACUGAAUCUUCGAGCCAGCAUACGGCGGCUGGUCUGUCAAGAGUGAACGGCCAAUGGCCAGUGGAAGUAGUCAGCAUCGUCUCCUUGCCUGUCGUGUUGUCCACGCGCACGCAUGCGCACUAGCAAGAAUGACGGAGAUGCGCGCGAGAGUCAAAAGGCAGUUGAAAAGAAUGACGGGCCGCAAACACGACGAGCAUUGCACUGCAGUGCAAGCAAGAUCUCCGUCCCCGAUCCAAUAUUGACGACUCGACUUUCACCCGUUCGUCUCCUCUGUCUUUCUGCCUGAUACCGACGUGUGUAUGAUAUCAGGGACGGGAUCUUGGACAAGCGCGCGUUAUAAUACAUGGGUGGCACGAUAUAGAUAGACCCAGCGCGCGUUGACGGCGAGCUGCUGGCUGCUGCCGCGCAUGCUUCCUCCAUGCAUGGCCAAGGCGCCGGUCCCUUGUACUAUCUCGUGCCGUGCCUUGACGGCGAGCAGGCAUGGUGCGCAGAGCACAGCAUUCGUUUGACAGAGGAGGGCCGCGCUUGCGCUUGCACUUGCUGAAGGCUGAAGACCGAAACGGAGCAAGGGUAGCACUGUGGUGUGUCUCGUCCUCACCGUCGGCGUUUCUCAAGGAGAGAUGGAGCGCGUGCCGGAAAUUACAGGCCCGAGCUGUCCGUCGGCGCGCAGCGACGCAGGGACGGAGGCGCAGAGAUUGUCAGAGGCAACUGCGAGUCGGCGUGAGUGAGGGUGACGCAGCAACAGCAUGCAUGCAUGUAUGUAGAGAGACAAGGGGUCAAGCGGCGGGAAAAGCUUCCUGCAGCCAGAAAGACGCGAGGAAGCUUAUAGGGAAAAAAAUCAGUCGAAAACAAAUGGCCGACCUCGCAGCGUCACGUACGCGCUGAACAAGGAAGGAAACAGCCACAUGCCCAAUUCCGGGGCAGGCGGCCGGCAAGCUCACUCAACAGACGAAAAGGCGAGCUUCACCUCUCUCGUUCUGCGGCAUGCCCGAGGAAAGGAAAACCCAUGCAUGCAUGCAUUGCAUGCCUGCGGGAAGCAGCCAGCAUCAGCAACAGGAUAGUAGCUUUUCUUUAUCUAUUUCCUCCGGCCUCUGCGUAUUAUAAUAUAAUCCGUGAUGAUGCGCCCAUGCCGGCCAUGCCAUGCAUGGCACGCAUUGAUCGUCCGGUGAGUACUGGUAUCGCGGGCUGGCUGGGGAUCUUUGGGCUGCUACGACUCAGCUGAGCCAUUGAACGCACAUGUGCAUCAACAGUUCAACCGUUGGCUGCUUCAUCAUGAGGAAAGAGAGACACGUACGCACGUACACUGGUUAUACCACAUAGUACAUUUCCAUGCAUUUCUCCCUCCUUCUCGCGCACACGUACUGGCGAGAUGACCAGAGAGAUACUAUGGCAGCAGGAUGCAUGCAGAUGCAGUGUAUGGACAUAUCAUCCGUCAGUCUCUGGACUCUGCGCGCCCGUGUGUGUGUGUGUGUGUGGUGGUGAUGCAGAUGGUCAGUCGGUGCUGUGCCUCUGCAUGCAUGUUGCGUUGCGCCCGCCCAUGCGUGUGCAAGUUAUGGGACUGAGAGCUGGCAAGCAAUUGCCCACUUGAGCUACGCUGCUGCACACGUUGCGCCAAAGAUUCAGAUUCAGGUUCAGGCGUGUGUGUGCGCGCGCGCUUGGCUUGGACUUGUCAAAAUACAUGCACAAUAGCGCAACUGCAGAUCCAUCCGAGCACAAAUGUCCAUGGCCAGCCAGCCCCCACCAUCGAACUAGCCAUGGCAUGUUUCCUUUGGCAUGUGUGCUGGCAAUCAGUGGCGGAGCUUCAUGGGGGCCAACCUGGGCCAUGGCCCCCCCAGCUCACAAAUUUUCUUUGUAUAUAUUCCUUUGUAUUAGGCCCAUUUUCCACUAAAAACAGCUCAAAUAGUUAAGUUUGCCCCCCCUCCAGCCCAUNNNNNNNNNNNNNNNNNNNNNNNNNNNNNNNNNNNNNNNNNNNNNNNNNNNNNNNNNNNNNNNNNNNNNNNNNNNNNNNNNNNNNNNNNNNNNNNNNNNNNNNNNNNNNNNNNNNNNNNNNNNNNNNNNNNNNNNNNNNNNNNNNNNNNNNNNNNNNNNNNNNNNNNNNNNNNNNNNNNNNNNNNNNNNNNNNNNNNNNNNNNNNNNNNNNNNNNNNNNNNNNNNNNNNNNNNNNNNNNNNNNNNNNNNNNNNNNNNNNNNNNNNNNNNNNNNNNNNNNNNNNNNNNNNNNNNNNNNNNNNNNNNNNNNNNNNNNNNNNNNNNNNNNNNNNNNNNNNNNNNNNNNNNNNNNNNNNNNNNNNNNNNNNNNNNNNNNNNNNNNNNNNNNNNNNNNNNNNNNNNNNNNNNNNNNNNNNNNNNNNNNNNNNNNNNNCUCCGCCACUGCUGGCAAUGGCGUCCAAGAUUCGGAUCGAACCUCCUUCCAUUAAUCUUGCAUUUCCAUCUACAACUCGUACACAAAACCUUAAUGUCAGACACAAAAAUAUAGAGCCUCUUCUAUAACAUGCAUGCAUGCAUGUUGGGAGUGCACGCGGUAACAAUUAGCCAAUUGCACGCGUCGCAUGCGUGCAAUUAAACACAUUAGUACAUGAGUAUAUGAGAUCGAGUUACAGUGAACAUAUCAUACGCACUGUUGUCUUCCACGGCGUGCAUCAUGGCCUGAGCAAGCUCGCACUCGACGGCUAGCUAGUCGGGCUUGUGUAUGCAGAGUAGCACGUAGUAAUAAUUAAGCAUCCGAACACACGCCGGCAGAUCGAGAGCAGCAAAAUUGAAUCAUCCUUCCAGCAUAUGGCGAUUGAUUUGUCAAGGGGAAACGGCAAUGGGAAGUAGUGAGCAUCAUCUUCUUUUACACCGACGGAUCGAUGACGGGAGGGCCGAGGGCGUGCACAUCCGUUGUUGCCUGUCGACACGCGCGCAUGCGCAUUAGCUAGCGGCCGUGCGCGCGCGAGUCAAAAGGCAGUUGAAAACAAUGACGGGCCGCAACCACAAGCAGCAGUGCAAGCAAGAUUUCCCUCCCCGAUCCAAUUGGCGACUGGCGACUGGCGACUGAGCUUUCACUCGUUUCCUCCUCUGUCUUCCUGUCUUUCUCCGUGAUGCCGAUAUGUACGUAGCAUCUGGACCUUGGAGACCCACAUGGCUGGCACGGUACAUAGCCGCGCAUGCUUCCACCACGCGGGCCGUGCACACGAUAUUUUCUUUCUUUCUUUCUUUCCGCUGCAUGCAUGCAUGCUCUUCCCGUCCGUGGCUCCACGGCCUUGCCGCCUUCCUUGUCACGGCACAUGUCGUGGACGGCAUCUUUGCGCUCGUGCGCACGCGCGCGUGCAGGAGAGAGAGAGCGAGAGAGAGACAAGAGAGGAUAGCUGUAGCUCACCUCCUGUCACUGUGGGUCAGAUGGAAAUAUCGCCUCGUGUUGCGGCCUCUGCAGCAUGCGCGCGCGGGAGGCGGGGCCAACCGACCGGCCUUGCUCGCUAGCUCGACCACGCAUGGGGGACAGACCAUGGCAUUCGUUUUCGUACGUACGCCGAGGCCAUGCAUGUGCACGUAUGUGUGGACGCCGUAGCGGCGUUGGCUUGCACGCUAGAGGCCACACCUAGAGCUAGGGCAGCGCUUGCAUUUGCUGAAUUUCCAAACUGAGCAAGGGUAGCGCUGUGCGGCAGCGUCGGCGUUUCUGGAUGUACUCCUACAUGCGUGAGGUGUGUAUGGGAAGCACACGUUGGCGCAGGUAACUGCAAGCCGGGGCGACAUGCAUGUAGUAGUAUUCAGAGAGGCAGGCCCUCAGGCGGCGAGCAAAGCUAGCUGCAUACAGGCCGACACGGAGAGGUUUACAAAGACCACUUGGAAACAAAAGGCCGACCCCGAAGCCGACGCAUCACGUACGAACUGAACAAGGAAACGGCCACAUGCCCAAAUCCGGGGCGGGGGAGGGGAGCUUUAAUUUACGUCUCUCAUUCUGCAUGCCUGCGGGGAGCAGCCAGGAUAUCUUUUAUUACUACUGUAUUUAUUCUUCUCGAUCGGGCCUCUCCUUUCGACGUGUGCGUACCUCGGUGCAUAUUCUGUGAUCGUGCGCCCAUGCUGCCGGCCAUGCAUGCAUGGCGCGCAUUUUUUUUUUUUGAAAUGUUGGCAAGAGAGUUAUCAAAUUCAUUGAUCAGAAAGAAAUAUUACAAGUAAUAUCCCCAGAGGACGAAUGCACUGCAUAAGGCGAGUGCUAAAAAGGAAAAAAUGAGAAAGGGUUGCUCAGUUUAUCAAGGAAAACCGGACGAAAACUUUAGCAGCGCCUAACAAGACUAGACCUAAAGCACCACAACACAUACAACAUGUCAGAAGGCCAACACCCCAUGACACACCCGGCCGGGCACUCGAGCGCUUACGCGGCUACCAAGGUGCACACCGACAACCGUCGUAUCAAUCCGGGCUGCCACUAGCAUAUCCACCAAACUCGACGACAUGCGUCUCCACUGUGAGCACUGCGCGACUGCUUCCACUGGCGUCUUGGGGCCGGCUGGAGAUCUUUGGACCCAUGCGUCUCCGCUGAGCAUGCCUGGCAGUGCCUGAGAAAGGUCAUUCGGACUGCAGUGUGUGAUACGGGAACAGGCAUGUGCACCAGCAGUUCAACUGUUGCUCCAUGAAGGAAGAAAGAUUUCCGCGCUUAUCAUACAUUUCCAUGCGCUGUCUUCUCUUUUAGUUUCUUCUAGUACUACUCCUAUAUGAGAUGCAGCACACGUACACGUACACAUUGAUAGGUGAGAGGGCCAGAGAGAGAUGGCAGGAGAUUGCAUGCAUGCAGGGUAUGGUAUGGGCACAUAUCUCUUCAGUCGGUCUCUGGCCUCUGCGUGCGUGGUGAUGCCGGUGGUCAGUGGGUGCCGUGCCUCUGCAUGUUGCGCUGUAUGCGCCCAUGCGUGCGUGCGCAGGCCAGCGGGAGCUGUCUUGCGCUAAAGGUAGAUUCCUUUCUGGCUCGGGUUCAGAUUCAGGUGUGCGUGUGCGUGUGCGUGCUUGACUUGGACCAGUCAAAGUACAUCGCACAACAGCGUAAGUGCUGGUCCAUGGCCAGCCAGUCCCCGUCGUGAACCUGCCAUGCCACAUUUCCUUCGCAUGUGUGCUGGCAAUGGCACAUUUUGCAAUCUCCAUUUACACUUCCUAAAGAAACCAUCAAGCUCAGACACGUAAAAAGAUGGUAACAAGCACAGAAUGAGAAAACUGGUAGUAUUAAGAACGAACUGAACUUCACUCAUCAGGCCCAUCUCGCACACACAUCAUGAGAGACAGAGACAGAGACAGACCAUAUAGUCCAGCCUAACCAUGUCACAAUAUCAUCCAAGUCACGGACUAUAACACGGCGCGGCAGGAUGUUUUAAGUAACACUGCAUUUGUCAUAUGAGUCCUAACUGGAUAUAUUAUCAACCAACCCGAUCAAGCGAUCAAUCUCAACAUGUCACAAAAUUAUCUCUCACGGUCUUGCCGCAUCAGUAUAAACACUCAAUGACCACAACACGGGUGGGGCAGACCACCCAGCAACCAGAGUCGACGACACCAUCCGGUUCUAAUCUGAGUAUAAAACAAAUAUGUAACAACAGACAACAUCUAUUGCUCCUGUUCGAGCUCGCUUCUCAGUUCACGGCAGAACUUGUCUCGGCGGAGAGGAGAAGAUGAUCAGUCUCC